CCUGCCUGCCUGCCUGCCUGCCUUGCCAGCCGAUCUCUUCGCAUCCGCGCGCGCGGAGGCGCUGGCACCACUUCCAGCAUGGCCCGCCGGCAGCUGCAGCCGCCUAGGAUGGAGAGGGGUCGCCCCCGGGGCCGAGGGGCGCGGCGAUGAAGGGAAGGGGCUUCUCCCCGGCGCUUGGGAGCUAUUAAAGCGGGACUUAAAACUUCACUCUGGAAUGACCCUGGAAGUCUGCCUGGGCAAAGCAGCGGGGAAGUCCUGCUGAAGGAAAAACAACCAAAACCACACACACAACAAAAAACAAAAGCCACAGUAAGUUUCCUUUCUUUAUCAUCAUGGGGGUUUGGUUUGGGAAGGCGGGGGAAUUCUGCCUUAGGAAGAGGUUUAAAGAAAAGGGGGAAAAGAAGUAAUUCCUGGGAAUGGAUCUAAAGGAGGAGAAAAGCUUGCGUGGACCCGGGAUCUUCUCCUUCCCGCGGAUUCUAAAGUUUGUAGGUAACCUAAUUAUAUUUUGCAAGUUAAUCCCUCCAUUCUCACGCUGGCGUCAUGGUGGGUUUAAGUGGAAAGGGAAGAAAUAAGGAUUUAUUUUGUUUUUUAAAGAGAUCACUCUGAAGCUGAAGUGCUAGAAUCAGACUAUCCUGAUGGAGGUGGGGGCAAAGGGGGUUUAAUAAUAAUAAUAAUCAAAAGAGCUGGUUUAAAACCAGAAAUCAAAUGAACUGCAAAGUUUGACUUCUGGGCCCAGUGGACUAAAAAAUGAAGCUGUCUGCUUUAAAAAAGAAGAGUUGAGGAUUUUAGGAUGGUUUUAGUGAGACGUCUGUUGGGAGAGGGAACAAGGCACCCUUUUUUCCUUGCUGGAAUGAGAAUGGAUGCCUCAAUUACCACUGAAAACCUCAUGUUUUAUACGUAUAUUGUUCUAGCUUCCAUUUUCCAAAGAUCUUUCUUAAAAUUUAUGGAUCAAAAGUUUGGUGUGUGUUCACUAUUUUUAUUCAUUUAUUACACACAAACACCCCAAUUUUCCUAUGAAGUACCGUAAAUAAUGAAAACUGUGAUGGUGCACUUACGAUUACAGUCUUACCGUGUGUGUGUGUGUGUGUUGAGGGGGGAGGUGAGUAGAGGAGAAGUAAACAGCGGUGGGAAUAAAAAACACUUUCAGCUUCAAAAAAGAGUGAUGGGGAACCAGGACGGAAAGUGAAAGGUGAAGAACUUAUCUUUAUAAAACCCAGGCAACAAGUUUGCCUUUGUCCAAAAGGUGUAAGGCAAAAAGGGCUCCUAGUUUAUGUUGACAGAACCUGUGAAUUUCCUGGGGUAACUUCUUCCUUGCCCUUUAUUCCCCCCCCCCCCACCUUCACCUCUCAGUCACGCUAAAAAAAGAAAUCACUCAAAAUUUGGGGGACCCAGUUUGGCUCACCACAAGAGUGAUGAGUAACCAUUCUGAAAGACAGGGCAUCCGAUGGAAUAAACACUGCGUGGUCCAAAGGGGAUUUGUCAAUACUAAAAAUAAACAGCCCCGUGAAUGUCUUCAACAGGCUCCUGUCCAGUUUCAACAAUAUUUCAAGAAUGAUUAACAGGCUGUGUUGGCUCCUUUGUUUUUUAAGCACCAGCUCUGUCCAGGGUCCUGAAGUUAGUGGCGCAGAUGCUCUCUUCCUUUCCGUAGCAUCUGAGUGUGCAUUUCUUGAUGAGUUCUGGAUGCUCCUGCUUCGCUUUCCAAGGUGGUGUGACUGACAUGGGAAGGGAUGGGGCGGGGAGAGAGAGAGAGAGAGAGAAUGGGGAUGUGUUUUCCAACACGUAUAGCUGAUCCUUGGUUUUGGCCUGCGAAACCAGGGCAGGUGGAGCUGCAGAUGGAACAGGCAGAUCCCAUAAGCUUUUGGGAGCUAAAAGGUCAGCCCAGCGAGAAAGCCAGAAUGCCUCCAUUUUAUUCCGAGAGGACAGUGGAGUUUGGCAGGGGAGCAGAGGAACUGGGAUGUUGAGGAUAUUUUGCAAUUUCUGGGGAAGUUAUGCUGGAGAGUCUUUGGUUGAGAUGGGAGGGGAGCAAAACAGAGCCGGCCUUUCCCCUGGCAGAUUAAGAACGACCUUUGCACCCCUAGGUGGUUCCUUCCUUUACCUUGCUCUCAGCAUGCCGCAUUUCUUUAGGCAACAGGCUUGACCACGAAGCAGAUUUUAAAUGCUGGCUUGUGGCAGGAGCCGUGAUGUUUUUACAUUUGCACAUCAAAAGGUUUCACGUUAAGAAGUUUUGAGUUUACGUAAUUCGUUCAACGUGACCGGUCAAAGAUAAUGCUAUGAUUAAUAUUUACACACAUGACACUGAAGUAAAAGAGACGAUUAAAUGUGCGCAUGGAAAAGCUGCUCUGCUUUUCUGCCUUACUCUCCCUUCCUUUCUGAUGUCUGAUAUUUAGCAAAUUAUUAACAAAGUUGAGUGUCUUCUCCUGGAGGAUCUAACAAGCAUUUGGGUGAAAUUACGGGCAGUGCCAGAACAAGCCGACAGUGAGAAAGACCACCCAAGGCACCACACAGUGCUGAAUUUGCUGAGCAAGUGUGCAUAUAUUUGCACGAUCCCUUCUACUCCUGCUAGCAAUGGGGAGCGAAAGAAAGUCAGUGAGGUAUAGUCAGUGGUAAGGGAUUUGCACCAGGGAAGCCUGGGAUUAUCGGCACCACGCUCUAACCAGCUGAGCUCAAAGCCACACAAUGGCCCCUAGAGCUCACCGGCUUAACAUUGGGCCAGUACUCGUGCCUAUUUUCCAUUGGGACUGGCAGAGCGGAUGGGAGGGAGGCUCAGCCAGAGUCAACUAAAUUUAGUUUUGUCCCCAUCUUCCUGUCUCUCGAGUUUUACACAAAGAGCACUGAGGCUACUAAGGAAGAAGAAGCUGAUGGGCAGAUCCAUCCCCUGAACUGAUUGUGAGUAACAAGGCAGGCAGGUGACAGCUAGCUGAGGAGAGGCUGAGAAAUGUGGGGCAGUGCCCCAUCCUCCCUAAUCGACCAGCCGCUACUGCAUAGGGCUCAUCACACACACACUCAACCAACCUCAUGUGCUAGUUGUGAGGAUAAAAGGAAGUGGCCCCCUCUGUCUAUGUGGGGGAAGAGUGGGGUAUGAGCAACGUAGAAUAAAUAUAUAUGGGGAGGGGGCAGCUGCCUCUUUUGGGGAAUUGGCACUUAUUUCCAUCUGUAUCUCAGCCCUUGCAAAGAGUUUGCCAAGAGCACCAGCAAAUUCUGGGCGGGAAGAGUACGAUAAACAAGAGAGCUGAUUUCUAAAUUGCUGCUUGCUGUUUGGCUAUGGCGAGACAAAAAUCGUCUCCAGGUGGGGACACUGCCGAAAGAGGUGUUCCUCUUUUUUGUCUUUGAGCCUUCCAGUGACUAAUGGGCAGGCACGAGCUGGCAGGCUUGUAAAUUUGUUUCUGGGCUUGCCACUUUUUGUGCGCUCUGUAAAGCUUAAGAGAAAUUAGGGUCCUAGGUCCCUGGAAAAGGCUCCCAUAUGAAAUCCCAGAGAACCACUAGAAAACUCUGAGCUCAAUAGGCCAAAUAUUUCCAGUUGAAAUAAGGCAGCUCCCUAUGUUUUUACGUGGUCGAGAAAUUAAAAGGGUCUCGUGACUGCUAAAUGGUAGCUGGCGCCAAACCUUGGCUACUGGAAGUCCAGUUGCUUUUACGAGGAUGCCCCCUCUCAUGGUUUGCAUUCUACCCAUCCAGUCUUUCUGUCUGCAAGCUCAAGGGGGAAAUACCAACCUUUGCUUUUCUCUUUUCAUGUUGUGAGUAUAGACCCAUCCCAGGCCUGGGUCACACCUCUACCUGCAAGCACAUCCUGUCAAUUUUUCUGCACUGUGUGAACUGACUCCUGAGGGAGGGAAAGCACUGCAUGUUGAGGUGAUGAUGCAGUAAUUCUAUUUGUGGUUCUGUAUUUCCGCAACGGCCUGUUCGCAGACACAAGUUGCCACUCGACACUGCCGACGCAGUUAAUAUACAGUACAGGCUUUUGUGAACCAGUUCCUAGAAAUACUGUUAUCCGUAUCUGUGAGGUGCAAUGGCUGGUGAAUUGCCCAGGUUUGGGGGCAAACCAUCCCACAGCACCUGUGCGGUAGGUCUGCUGUGGAAUUCGGGAAUGAAAUCGUAGCAGAAGUUGACCCGGCGCCUCCGAAUUUCUUGAACCAAUUGGAUACAGUCACCUGUGGAAGGACUGUAGCUCAGCAGUGGAACACCUGGAAAUGUCAGAGACCUUCUGUAGGUGGGACUGGGAAUGUCUACUGUUUGGAACCCCAGAGAGCAGCUGUCAGUCAAUUUCUACAAUACUGAGCUAGGUGGACCAGUAGUAGUAGUUUUGGAUUUGAAAUCCUGCUUUAUCACUAUCCAAAGGAGUCUCAAAGCGGCUAACAAUCUCCUUUCCCUUCCUCCCCCACAACAAACACUCUGUGAGGUGAGUGAGGCUGAGAGACUUCAGAGAAGUGUGACUGGCCCAAGGUCACCCAGCAGCUGCAUGUGGAGGAGCGGAGACGCGAACCCAGUUCACCAGAUUAUGAGUCUACCGCUCUUAACCACUACACCACACUGGCUCUCCAGUGGUUUGAGUGGAUGGAAAGUACUUUCCUAUGUACUUGUGGGGGCUGGUGUUUUUUGUGGUGGGAGUAUGUGUGUGUUUGCCUGUGGUGCUCAGCCCCAUCUUCAGGAUUAAUGUGGUCUCAGGGGAAGAGACCAUUAAGAGGUGAAGCAAAUAGAUAGGAAAGCUGAGAGGGGACACCCCCCACUCCAUGGCCCCCUAGUCAGAUGACUCAAACACGGAAGCCAAAGACCCGUGCCAAACACAAUGUGGUUCUGGAAGUUUUCAUGCAAAUUCGGCAUCUGUUUCUUUCAGCGGAGGGCAAUAGUGAAACAUAUCUAAAACUAAGGAGGAAUCAAAUACCAAGUGGCAGCUUUGAAUCUCCUUCUCCAAUUUCUUCUGAAUUCCUUGGUCUGUUUGGGGCCUUGUCCUCCCCGCCCCCCCCGCUUGGUGGCUGUCCAGAGCCUAUCAACUCCCUCCUUGUGGUUCUGACUCACUUUGUCACACACCCCAAAUGUGCAAUUGCAAGCCACCUUGGUGUGGGUUGAGUAAUACCAGGGCAAGCAGCAGCCUCUGCCAGAUAGUGGAUGACCCUUUCACAGUGAGAAAUAACAAGCUGUUUGCCCCCUACUCCAGCCCCACUGCCCCUGUUGCAGCGAAUGGCUGUCAUGUUGUAAAUUUGAGCAAUGAUCAAUGGCGCACUUUUCAACUGAACACAUUUCCCGAUUCUUUCCUUCCAUCCUGAAACUGCAGAUGUUAUUUAGGAAAAAACGAAUAAAGAAACCAACUCUGACAUCUAGGAGAUGAUAAAUGAUAGGUAAAGAAGUUCAAAGUUAUUCUUGGAGGGAGUGAUUGGCAAAACCUGGAAUGAGUUCUGAAUGAUGGGCGAUCUUUCAGGGCAUUGCUGCCAAAAUUAUGCCCUCGCUACCCAUGCAGACUGCUCCUGCUGUUCCAUGAUGAGCCAGCUUCAAAGCUGUUGUGCAAUAACUUUCUGGUACUUUCAGAUCAGUGGGGGGAGCGAGUCACAUUUUGUUUUUAUUCCUUCCUUUUCCCUGCCCCUGUGUCCUCCACCCACUGCACUGCCAGCAGCAUUCGGUGCCUGAAUGUGCUUUACUGUGUUAGGCUACAGGCUGGUGAGCUGUGUUAGAAAUUAGCCAGGCGCCAAAGUGCAUUUUGCUACUGGCGUGGGUCCAUGUGUGGAGAUCUCUGGAUGCCAGGUGGGCAACUGACAUCUCCACCUGUCUGCCCCCUCCAGGUUUCUGAAGCAGGUAAGCAGAAGAGCUUCUUCAUUGCAUAUAUAGCCCACCUUUCUCUCCAAGGAGUACAUGGUUUACCCUGCUCCUCAGUUAAUCCCUACAAUGAACCUAUGAGGUAGGUUAAUAGGCUGUGACUGACUCCAAGGUCACCCAGGACCAGUGAGCUUCAUGACCGAGUGGAGAUUUGAACCCUCAUCUCCCAGGUCCUAGUCCGACACUCUAACCACUAUACCACAUUGGCUUCCUAGAGUGCUUUUGCUAUGGGUCAGCUAUAUAAAUUAAGUAAGUAAAUAAAUAUGGGGAAAUCAAAAUGUCACUUAGAGAAGGAUCUGAAGUAUUUUCCUUGAAAUUUGAAUUCGUUGUGGAUUGUUUUAUUUGAUGUCUUAAUGUGUUGUAAACCUCUUUGAAUUUUUUUCUUUUAAAGCAUAAUAAUAAUAAUAAUAAUAAUAAUAAUUUAUUAUUUAUUAUUUAUACACCGCCGAUCUAGCUGGGUUUCCCCAGCCACUCUGGGCGGCUUCCAACAGAAUAUUAAAAUACAAUAAUCUAUUAAACAUUAAAAGCUUCCCUAAACAGGGCUGCCUUCAGAUGUGUUCUAAAAGUCUGGUAGUUGUUCUUUUUGACAUCUGGUGGGAGGGUGUUCCACAGGGUGGGCGCCACUUCCGAGAAGGCCCUCUGCCUGGCUCCCUGUAACUUGGCUUCUUGCAGUGAGGGAACCGCCAGAAGGCCCUCAGCACUGGACCUCAGUGUCCGGGUAGAACAAUGGGGGUGGAGACGCUCCUUCAGGUCUACUGGACCAAGUAAAGAAAUGAUGAUAAUUCCCACUGCAACAACAAAUUGUGCCUAGACAUUCCGUUGUGGUGACCAUAACCUAGGUUUAAGGUGCCAUUUGGUGAUUAGCUUAUAGCAUAUCUGAGUUUCUAACACUGAUGGUGAGAAGGGGCAUGGUGCCUCCCCCCCUAGCCAGCUGCCCUCACCAAGCCUCUGAAUUUCUGGCUUUCUGUUGGCCACCUUGAGGGCACACCUAAUUAUUCCAUACUGAAAAGAAAAACAAUGGUUUUCAGAAAACAUGUCAAUGUGCUUUGUGCCUUCACUCGUACCUGAGGCUGGUGCUUUUGCCAUUCCACCCCAGCUACACUCCUGAGGAAGACUGCAAAUGCCAUGAGGUCUUCUUUCUCUGCUCCCUUGAGGGAGUCUGCACUCAAUAAUAUAUUGAGCUUUGUCAUUGCUCCUGUAGGUUUUCUUGCUCCCUGGCUCUAUGCUUCCAGCACAAGGAGAUUUCAAGGGCGAAGUUAGCCAGCUCAUUCUGUGGGAUCUCCCUCUAUUUUAUUCCAUUUAUUUAUAGACGUAUCUGCAUAUGGCUGACUCAGAUGUAGCAUCAAGGCGGCUUACAGCAACAUACACGGGUGCAAUAGAAUGAAAAGCUGCCGUAGAAACAAUAGAAAAUAGUCAUGGAGAGGACCGGCUAAUCGAGAAAGCUUAAGCAGUUAGUCAGAAGACUUUCAGGGUGAGAAGUUUUGCAAAAGAUGCCUGGAAGUCAGUAGUGGGGAGGCUUGGGGAAUCUCUGCCGGGAGAGUGUGCCACAUUAUGGGAUCAGCAACACUUCAUGCCUGACUUCUGGCCGAGGCUGGUUGGGCCUCUGUAACACGGGGGACAACUCACUGUGCUCCUCCAGGUGUUCUCGGUGACUGUGUCGAUUGCUCAGGCAGGUCCUAAGGUAUACUGGACCUCAGUUGUUCAGGGCUGUGUAUAUUAACACAAGAGCCCUGAUCCCGGCCCAGCAGCAUAUGGGCAGCCAGUGCAGAUGUGCCAAAAGUGGUGGCGUGUGCUGUCAGCUGUCUGCCCCCAUCAGUAGUCUGGCUGCUGCAGUUUGCAUUUGCUAGAGCUUCCAGACUAGGCCCAAGGGGAGCCCCACACGGAACGCAUUGCAGUAAUCUAGUCUGCGGGUUAUUGUUGACUACAGUGACAAAUACCGUGUUGGCCUGAAUAUAAGCCACACUUCCCCCCCCAAAUUCCGACCGUGAAAAGUUGAAGUUGUGGCUUAUAUUUGCGACCUUACAGUAUGUAGCCAGGAGCAUGGGGCAAACAGCGAAUGCCCCGCGCAUAGUCCCCUGUCCAAGGGUAGAGAGCGAGGAAGAGGAAAGGCCGCCGGCAGUGUAGCGUGGCUUCCCCCCCCCCCCCAGUUUAGCAUGCAGCCAGGAGCAGCAAGGAAUAGAGCGGCUUAUAUUCAGGCAUUUCUUCUUUUUUUCUCCCCCCCCAUCAAUUAAUAAAGGUGCAGCUUAUAUUUGGGUGCAGCCAUAUUCAGGCCACUAUGGUAAUGCAAACAACUUUUGUAUUAUUAUUAUUAUUUAUUAAAUUUGUAUAUUGCCAUUUAUUUGUAGAGCUCAGGGCGGUUCACAACCCUAAUCCAGGGUCUGUAUCAGAGUCUCCCUAAGCACUUAGUAGCUGACAGUUCGAAAGCACGAAGUGCAAGUAGAUAAAUAGGUACCGCUUCGGCAGGAAGGUAAACGGCGUUUCCGUGCGCUGCUCUGGUUUCGCCAGAAGCGGCUUAGUCAUGCUGGCCACAUGACCCAGAAAACUGUCUGUGGACAAACGCCAGCUCCCUCGGCCAGUAAAACGAGAUGAGCGCCGCAACCCCAGAGUCGUUCACGACUGGACCUAAUGGUCAGGGGACCCUUUGCCCUUUACCUUUCCUGUUUCUUGCAUGCAUUAAUUGCCCUUUGUUAAUGCUCCUGUAAAAGGCCCCUGCCUUUUAACAACACGUGUUGCCCUGAAACCUUAAUGGCUUCAACACUGCAGUGGAACGGUCUCCCUCUGGAGUUUCUGGACUCUCCUUCCUUGGAGGUUUCUAAGCAGAGGUUUGGAUGGCCACCUGUCAUGGAUGCUUUAGCCGAGAUUCCUGAAUCGCAGGGGGUUGGACUAGAUGACCCUCGGGGGUCCCUUCCAAGUCUAUGAUUGCUGAGGGAGGUCCUGAACACAGGAGCAAAUUCUUUGGAAGCAGAUUUGUGGCAGAUAUGUCCAUCAAGAGCUACCAGUCAUGUUGGAGGCUAUGGUCUGCUUCCAUGGUCAGAGGCAGUAAUGCCUUUGAACAGCAGUUUCUGGAAACCACAGGAAGGGAGAGAUGCCCUUGUGCUCAGGUCCUCCUUGUCGGUUCCCCAUACGCAUCUGGUUGGCUACCAUGAGAAAAGGACGCUGGACUAGAUGGGCCAUUGGUCCUGAUCCAUCAGGGCCCUUCUUCAUGUUCUUAAGAGCAGGUUGUGGAUUGGGUAUGAGAUCUUGCACAACUUUUGGGAUCACCUUGGUGCCAGCUUUUAAUGGAGUGCUUAUGAAUAGGUGUAAUGUAUGCUUAGAAAGCCUCUAAGAGCCAGUGUGGUGUAGUGGUUAAGAGCAGUAGUCUUGUAAUCUGGUGAGCUGGGUUCGCUUCCCGGCUCCUCCACAUGCAGCUGCUGGGUGACCUUGGGCCAGUCACACUUCUCUGAAGUCUCUCAGCCCCACUCACCUCACAGAGUGUUUGUUGUGGGGAGGAGGGGAAAGGAGAUUGUUAGCUGCUUUGAGACUCCUUAAAGGUAAAGGUAAAGGUAAAGGGCCCCCUGACCAUUAGGUCCAAUUGUGGCCGACUCUGGGGUUGCGGCCUUCAUCUCGCUUUACUGGCUGAGGGAGCCGGCGUACAGCUUCCGGGUCAUGUGGCCAGCAGGACUAAGCCGCUUCUGGCGAACCAGAGCAGCGCACGGAAACGCCGUUUACCUUCCCGCUGGAGCGGUACCUAUUUAUCUACUUGCACUUUGACGUGCUUUCCUGCUAGGAUGGCAGGAGCUGGGACCGAGCAACGGGAGCUCACCCCGUCAUGGGGAUUAGAACCGCCGACCUUCUGAUCGGCAAGACCUAGGCUCUGUGGUUUAGACCACAGUGCUACCCACGUCCCUUUGAGACUCCUUAGGGUAGUGAUAAAACAGGAUAUCAAAUCCAAACUCUUCUUCUUCUUCUUGAAUACUUCAUGGCUUUGCUGUUCUCGCCGCCGUUCCUUCUAUUCUUGAUGCUCAUGCAAUGAGUGCCAUUGCUUAGGAAGUCAGCACAGCACUACCCAUGCACAAGAGAGAGAGAGAUACAAGUGGCCUUUAAGGAACCCCACGUUUUGCAGAAAUACAGAAAACUGUUGAAGCGGGAAGCUCCCCCCCCCCCCGCUAAAUAGUCCAGAGAAGACUGUGCAUGCUCAGUAGCCAAGGAAUGCCGAUUGACUGUUGGGGAAAGGGAAUGAAAAACUGGAAGGUUGCAGGAAUGGAAUGAUUGGGCUCAUUCGGAAGAGCAUGAGACUCUUAAAUCUCAGGGUCGUAGGCUUGAGCCCCAUGUUGGGCAAAAUAUUCCUGCAUUGCAGCAGGUUGGACUAGAUGACCCUUGGGGUUCUCUCCAACUCUACAAUUCUAUGAUUGUCUGGAAUCUAGGAUCAAUGCCACACCAUACAUUUAAAGUGCUAUUAUACCACUUCAACAGUCACAGAGAGACUCCUCUGUCUGUUAAGGGUGAAGGAAAUUGUGAAUCUGUGGGGUCUUCACCCAUAACAAACUACAGUUCCCACAAUUCCCCCUACCUGUUACGGGUGGUAUCAGAGAGGAUAUGGUGUGGAUGCAAACAGAAGCACUCUACGCUGCAGCAUUUUGUUGCAGGCUUUCCCGUUUCUCUCUCCCUUCUUUCCAGUCUGUCCCCCGGUGCUUUUGCUCGAUGCAUUUUAAGCGCUACAAAUCUAGUGGUUUAAAGGUUUGUGUUUGUGUGGGGGGGCGGAGGGAGGGAGAGAAAAUUACAGAGUUUUAAAAACAUGAUAGGCACCAAAGAUCAUUUGAGGAGUUCACAUUCCUGUGCCUGUAAUGCACAGGGUUCCUCUUGCCUGGAAGUGGAACUGUGUGAGCACCUUUCUCACCUUCUUGCCUGGCAAAUUGCAGCUGCUGCAAUCCCAUCUCCCGCUCUGUGCAACUAUUAAAAGGUGCAGAACCCUCGUCCAGCUUCGCACCUGCUCGCCCAGAAACACCCUCACCUGUAGACAGCACAACAAGAGUUUCAGUGUUUUCUCUUUUAAAAAAUAUUUUUUUAUUAUUAGUUGAAUAUAAGAACAACAUAUAAUCAAAUACAAGCAAUCAAAUACAGUUUUCCCCUACCCUCCCAAAAAACAGCCACAACUACGUCCAGGUAAUUACAUUAGUAAUAUAAUCAAAUAAAAAAAUUAUUUCUACAGGUGCUGGUUUAAAAAAUAUCAUUCCACAUGCUCCCAUGUGUCUUAGGCGGUUUAAAUGCAUGUUCUUUCUUUGAUGCAUAUGUAAUAAAGGAGGACCACGUUUUGUAAAAGUUACGUAGUUUCUCACGUUGUUUUCUUUCACGUACCCUUUCUGUUAACUUUUCCAUCAAAAUUAAAUUAAAAUAAAAUUAAAACCAGUGUUUUCUCAAAGCGGUAAUGCUUUCUGGAUCGGUCUUUGCCGUUUAGCAAACAUCCACUCAAGCAAAGGGAAAGAAGCGGACCCUGAAUGGAGGAGAGAAGGGAGUAUAUUGGGAGCAGCUGAAUUGGCGUCGGAGUUCCAGGAAAGAGGGUUGGUGGAAGGGAAAAGGACCGUGGUGGGGGUGGGAAAAGGUGUUGAGCCUUCUGUCCUGCUGCAGUCUGACAGGUUUCUCCGAUUUUAUUUUUAAAACGUUUGGGCACCUUUGGCCUUUCAGAUUUUGCUGAGCUAUAACUCCCAGGAGCCUCUGCAAGCAUGGCCAUUGAUGGUGGGAAUUGUAGUUCACCAAACGUGGUGGGAGAAAGGUUGCUCACACUUGUAUUUUUAUUUUUUUUAAUUUCAAGCCUAGGAUUUCUUUGAGUUUUGCAAGGCAUAAGAGUCAUAAGAAUUGGGGUGGGGUGGGGGAGACUCUUGAAGUCAUCUAGUCCAGCCCGACUCAACGCAUGUUCAGAAAUGCAGGAGGCAGUGCCUCCAGAAAACCACCACCACUUCCUGUUCCCCUGUCAGAGCAGCUCUUACCAUCAGGGUGCUUCUCUUACCAUAUGUGGAGGACUCCCUUGUCCUGAAUGGGUUACUGUGCCCCUGAAGGACCAGGUGCGCAGCCUGGGAGUCAUUCUGGACUCACAGCUGUCCAUGGAGGCACAGGUCAAUUCUGUGUCCAGGGCAGCUGUCUACCAGCUCCAUCUGGUACGCAGGCUGAGACCCUACCUGCCCAUGGACUGUCUUGCAAGAGUGGUGCAUGCUCUGGUUAUCUCUCGCUUAGACUACUGCAAUGUGCUCUAUGUGGGGCUACCUUUGAAGGUGACCCGGAAACUACAACUAAUCCAGAAUGCGGCAGCUAGACUGGUGACUGGGAGCGGCUGCCGAGACCACAUAACACCGGUCUUGAAAGACCUACACUGGCUCCCAGUACGUUUCCGAGCACAAUUCAAAGUGUUGGUGCUGACCUUUAAAGCCCUAAAUGGCCUCGGUCCAGUAUACCUGAAGGAGCGUCUCCACCUCCAUCGUUCUGCCCGGACACUGAGGUCCAGCACCGAGGGCCUUCUGGCGGUUCCCUCACUACAAGAAGCCAAGUUACAGGGAACCAGACAGAGGGCCUUCUCAGUAGUGGCACCCGCCCUGUGGAACACCCUCCCAUCAGAUGUCAAAGAGAAAAAUAACUACCAAACUUUUAGAAGACACCUGAAGGCAGCCCUGUUUAGGGAAGCUUUUAAUGUUUAAUAGUUAUUGUAUUUUAGUGUUUUGUUGGAAGCCGCCCAGAGUGGCUGGGGAAACCCAGCCAGAUGGGUGGGGUAUAAAUAAUAAAUUAUUAUUAUUAUUAUUAUUAUUAUUAUUAAGUGUUGUCCAAAAUAUCCUCCCCUGUCAUUUCCAGCCAUUGGUUCUAGACCUGCCUGGAAAUGACUUCUAAGGCUUUUUGGGGCAUAUGCUCACUGGAAGCUUGGCUUUGGGGCAAAAUUAGGGCAAUUGUGAUGUCGUGGUUAGGGGUGUCACAUUAAGUCUGCGGAGAGACCCAGCUUCAAUUCCUUCCUUGGCUACGUAGAUCGGCAGGUGCCAUUGAGCUGGUCACGAGGUGCGACUGUCGGAUGAGGACUGGAUAUACUGUGAAGCUUGCUGGCUGAUCUUGGGCUAGGCAUUCACACACACACUCUUGGCUUGACCUGCUUCGCAAGGCUGCCGUGAGGAUCAACCGGGCAGAUGGGGAGAGCCACCUCGAGGUCCUCAGAGGGAAUGUGAGAUGGAAAUAGGAUAAAUAAUAACAAACAGAACACAAUGUACGGGACCCACAAUCGUGACCUCCCGCAGUCUUUAAAUAAUGAAUGGGCAGCCCAUCUGCUUUGAAAAUUGAGAAAGUGGUGUUGGCCGAGGGGAUGUUUAACCCUUUCGCCACUACAGUGGUACCUCGGGUUACAUACGCUUCAGGUUACAGACGCUUCAGGUUACAGACUCUGCUAACCCAGAAAUAUUACCUCGGGUUAAGAACUUUGCUUCAGGAUGAGAACAGAAAUCGUGCUCCAGCGGCGCGGCAGCAGCAGGAGGCCCCAUUAGCUAAAGUGGUGCUUCAGGUUAAGAACAGUUUCAGGUUAAGAACGGACCUCCGGAAGGAAUUAAGUACUUAACCUGAGGUACCACUGUACAGGCAGACACUGUGUCCCCAGUCUAAAAACAACUCCUGAAGCGGGUAUUAGUUGGGUUACUUCUGUGAUGUUAAUAGCAGCCCUGGGGAUAGGGGUGGGAUUUAGAUUACGGAAAUGUCAAUGGGACAGUUAAGUAGAGGGGCGGGCGGAUGACUUGUGAACCUCCAACUCCCACCAUUCUUGACCAUUGGCCCCGAUGGCUGAUGAACCCAAUCCUGUAUACCUGAAGGAGUGUCUCCACCUCCGUCAUCCAGCCCGGACGCUGAGGUCCAGCACCGAGGGCCUUCUGGCGGUUCCUUCGCUGCGAGAAGUGAGGUUACAGGGAACCAGGCAGAGGGCCUUCUUGGUAGUGGCACCCACCCUGUGGAACGCCCUCCCAGCAGAUGUCAGGGCAAUAAACAACUAUUUUACUUUUAAAAUACAACUGAAGGCUGCCCUGUUUAGGGAAGUUUUUAAUGUCUGGUGCUGUAUUGUUUUUAAUAUUCAGUUGGAAGCUGCCCAGAGUGGCUGGGGAAACCCAGCCAGAUGGGUGGCGUAUAAAUAAUAAAUUAUUAUUAUUAUUAUUAUCACAUCUGGAGUGACACAGAGUCACAAAUUUAAUAAAUAAAAAAUAGAGUAACAGCAGAGGGCAGGCACCUUAUUACCCCAUGCCUUCAAGGCAGACAUGUGGGGUGGGGACAACCCCCCCCCCAUACAACCAAAUGCCCCAAGCCAUCGGAGUUCCUGCUCGUAGGAUCUCCUGCACUGCGCCUAGCUUGACUCUCAGAAAGGCUGCCUUCUGGAUUUCGACUGACUGUAAUGUUUAAAAGUGAAAAGCUUUCUGAGUUUAUUUGCAAGGCUUUCUUUCUUUUUUUCUUUUGUGUAAAACCCAGCUUCUAAUCAAAACAUGGCACAUUUGCAGCAAUUGUCUUUAGAAUGUUUUAUCCGUACUUCAUGGAUUGCUCUUUGGGUUUUACCUGCUGAGGACUUCUGGCUCCCUGAAAGGGAGGGGGAAGGUGUUUUAGAGAGGGAUGAUUUUGCAAAGGAAAAGUCCUGAAUUGCAGUCAUAGCCAAAGGCUUGCAUAAAGCGAUUGGUGAUUUCGUUUUAUGGCUUUUGGGCCGGUCCACCAGAAUAAGCGCUUGCAUAAGCUUAGCUGGGACAAUGGGAGCUGCUGAAAGGGACUGAGUUCUCUGCUCAGCGCCAUCCUGCAAAGCUUUCUCUACUGUAUGCAAGCUCUAGUAAUUUAUUAUUGUUGUUAUUAUUAUUAUUUAUGGUGGUGGUUUGUUUUUCUGCUUUCCAUCAAAUGCUGAAGGCAGCUUAUAAGGUAAAGGUAAAGGGACCCCUGACCAUUAGGUCCAGUCGUGACCGACUCUGGGGUUGCAGCGUUCAUCUCGCUUUACUGGCUGAGGGAGCCGGCGUACAGCUUCCGGGUCAUGUGGCCAGCAGGACUAAGCCGCUUCUGGCAAAACCAGAGCAGCACACGGAAACGCCGUUUACCUUCCCGUUGGAGCGGUACCUGUUUAUCUACUUGCACUUUGACGUGCUUUCGAACUGCUAGGUUGGCAGGAGCAGCGACCAAACAAUGGGAGCUCACCCCGUCGCGGGGAUUAGAACCACCGAUCUUCUGAUUGGCAAGUCCUAGGCUCUGUGGUUUAACCCACAGCGCCACCCGCGUCCCGAAGGCAGCUUAUAGUGUCAUAUAAUUUCAAAUCAUAUACUCAAUUUUUAAAACAAGAACACAUUAUGUCCCGCUUUUCUUCCAGAGAGCUGAAGGUGGCAUGUAUGGCUCUCCUCCCUUGUUUUAUCUUCACAACAGACCUGUGAGGGUAGGUCAGGGUGAAAUCAUGGAGCCAUAGCUCAGCUGUAGAGCAUCUGCUUUGCAUGCAGAAGGUCUCAGGUCCAAUCCCUACCAUCUCCCGGUAGAACUAGGAGAGACUACUGUCUGAAAUUCUGGAGAGCCUCUGCCAGUCAGUGUGCAGACAAUACUGAUGGAUCGGUGGUCUGAUUGGGCUUAAUAUGUCUUCCUCUGCCCCGAAGACACCGAGUAACCAGAGGUCACCCAGUGAGCUUCAUGGCUGUGUGGAGAUUUGGAUUUCGGUGCUCCUGGUCCUCGUUUGACAAGCAACAAAUAAAUUCCUUAGGGCCAUCUUUUAACAAAGUCCAGAUGAUUUUCUGAAACAUUGUUGCACCCUGAAAGGCCAGUGAUCAUGGUAGACUUGAAGACCACUUUGGGGUGGUGUUCUGCAAUGUGGGUGCUGCAGUUGAAAUGGGAACACUUUGAAUGAAACAGAUGGUUUCCCUUCAUUCUUGAACUCCUUCGCUCCUAUGCCCUAGGCAUCUCUUACCCACAUUGUUUGGAGGAGUUGUGAGUUGCUGCACCCCAGAAUUGUGGGUGAGAUGCUUGCUGUUGUUUGACCUAACCAAAGGGUCCAUACCUCCUUCCCUUUACCGGACUGCUUAAACCUUGCCAAGAAAGCCUGGCUGCUUCCAUCAUUUCCAUUGGCCCCUCCUUCCAGGAAGACGUGGCAGCCCUCCAGCCCUGCGAAAGAGGCUGGAGCGAGGCCACUAUCAAUUAAACCAUCAGUGUUGAGAUCCUGCUUGUCAUGAGCCAACGCCAAUUUUGCCGUAUUUGGGCAAAGCGGGAGAGCAAGUGGUGGCAGUUUAGCUGCAGGCACUUCUGGAUGAAGCUGGUUAUCAGACCUGGCUUGGGGACAGUGAAUGCCUUGGUCACACUCUGGUAGAUGACCUUUGCUGAGAGAUAGGCUGGGGAAUGUGAGCCUGCUGACUUUCCUGGACAUCUUGGUGGCUUUUGACAUCACCGUCCGUGGUGUCCUUCUGCACCACAUGGCCAGAAUGGGGACUUGGAAGCUCUGCAGUUCAGUGGUGGAACACCUCCUUUGAAUGCAGAAGAUCACGGGUUCUGCCCUCGGCAUCUCCCACUAAGGCUGCCUGAAAUUCUUGAGAGCUAGGAUUAGAUAAGAGCAUCUUGGCUUGGUCGUGAGUCUUGAAAGACCCGCUUCCUGCCUUGCAAAGACUGUUUCCACCUGGCCCAGAAGGCGGGGCCCGGACUGACUCCAGCUACAAAAGCUGAGGCUGUUCAACAGAUUCUUGGGCUGGGGUGUUGUUUUGGCGUUCUUGUUGGUGAGGGGUUCUUCCUGUUGGCGUUUUGUAUCUUACUUCUUCUGAAGUAGACGUCUAUAGCAGGCUUCCUCAACCUCGGCCCUCCAGAUGUUUUGAGACUACAAUUCCCAUCAUCCCCAACCACUGGUCCUGCUAGCUAGGGAUCAUGGGAGUUGUAGGCCAAAAACAUCCGGAGGGCCGAGGUUGAGGAAGCCUGAUCUAUAGGAUUGCGCUGUAAGCAAGACUGGCCUUUUUAGGAGGACGCCUGGUUCAUUGGCUAACAGCCCAGUCCUAUGCAUGUCUUCUCAGAAGAGUUCAGUGGGACUUACUCCUAGUUAAAUGUGUAUAGGAUUGUAGACUUAAGCGACUUUUUGGGUGGUGGCUGUGAGGAAUGAUCUAUCGCAGAGUUGGUUGGAAAGGAUCUGAAAUGCCAGCUAGUCCCAGCUCCAUACCACAACGGCAUCCUUUUAGCAUCUUUGCUGGUUUGCUUAAUCCAGCUUUAGAUUGGAUGCCAUUAGCUAGCAAACCGCUUUGCGUUGCUUUGAUGCUUCAAGACAACCUUCCCUUACCUGGUGCCCUCCUGAUGGGAGUUGUAGUACAGACAUCCAGAGGACAUCAGUUUCGGGAAUGCCCUUGAGAACUGAGCAUUUGCAGGAUAUCAGUGCAAUAAUAACAAAAACAACUCUUGACUCUUGUGCUGCUCCCCUUCACUGGUGGAUUUUAUAUACUGCAUUAUUAUAUGCCCGUUAUUGGUGUGCCUAUGACAUUUUUAUCUCACCAAGAAAUCCCCCCUCUGCAUUUGAUUUUAACAGCAACCCUGUAGUUAAGACUCCAAGAUAGUGAAUACCCCAAGGUCGUCCAUUGAGUUUCAUGGGCAGGUGGAGAUUUGAUCUUGGCUUUCCCUGAUUUCCAAGCCAUUUUUGUUUUAAUGUUUCCAGUUUUAGACCCCUGUAUUUAUUUAUUUUUAGUGUACUAGCACCCCUUCCUUCUUUCCUUCAAGCCUUUUCACAGUUUUGUGUGUUCACACACACACACACAAAAUUGAACCAACCUCGAAUCCCUUUUGAAUAUUUGGGGCCGUCUGUCUAACUAGAGAACCAGCGUCUUGCACAUGGAGGCCCUCAGGUCAAUAAACGUACGCAAAUGCCCGGUUGGCAGAAGCAAGUAUGAAUUUAUCCUGACGUAUGACGUUAAAACACGCGAGGCUUUGUUGAAUCAGAAUUUCCCCGUGUUUUAAAGUUAAAACAACUGACCCAGGAGACCGAAAGUUCUGGACUAAAAAUAAAACACCGUGUGGUCUAUGAAAUCUAAUCCAGCAGUUGCAUUAAAGGGAGGCGGAGAGAGAGAGAGAAUUUGCAGGCAGCCCAAUCUGAAAGCUUCUUCGCACAUCUGAUGUUUUCGGUGUGUUCUUGAGGUACGAAGGUAACAAACAUGCCUGCAGCCACAUGUUCAGGUAAACACCUAAGCAGCCUCUUCCCGUGGAGUGCUAGCUCAGUAACAAAUCUGGAUUUGGAGCCACGCGAAGUGUGAAGUUGUCCUUGGAACCAGGACUGCACCGGCUGCUUUUGAUUUGAUCCAACAGGGCUCUUCAUGUGUCCGUAUUCCCAUGGUAAUCGCAGUUCAAACAGAUCUGUAGACCCCAAGGAUUGGCAUAGCUUCCCCUGCUGCUUAUUUCCACUGACAUUCCCAGUAGAAAUGCACGAAGGAAGACCAGCUGGUGUUAUAUUCAUAUCUGAAAGCGUUGCAUUUUCAUGUUGAAACCUACCAAAGUAGCGAGGGUAGAAAAAGAGAUUGUUGUUACCGGGGGGCGGGGGGUGGAAUCUGUUUCCACUGGAGUGUAACCUCUGAGUAACAGGGACUGUGUGCUUUGCUUUGCUUGAUGUUGUCGUUGCCGUAUCUUUAAUUUAAUUUGUGCUGUUGAAAUCCAAGCUAUGGGCCCGUAUGGAGCCAACAGUGUCUCUCUCUAAGCUUAUCUUGCCGAGUGACGGCUUCUAAAUCAAGCUGGAAAUCAGGUCACACAUUUCCUGCUCUUAGAGGGAUUUAUCUCAUUUCUGUUCUUUCAAAGUAAUUAGAGUUACUAAUAAGGAGGACAAAAUGGUAAGAUCUGCCCGGACUGAAAAUAUACCUUAGCUCCAUCUCGUAGGAUAGGUUCUCAGAGACUUCCCCCCCAGACUGGUGCCCUCCCGAUGUUUUGGGCUGACGCUAUGGGAAUUGUAGUCCAAAACGUCAGGCAGGGGGGCACCAGGUUGGAGAACGCUUGGACAGAAAAUGGGUUCGUUGACGUGAUCUGUGGAAAUAGGCUAGCAGGCAAAAUUUAAGCCAGAGUACUUCUUUUUGGGAAGAAAAGCUAACAUUUCAUUAUUUGAAAAUGCCUAAUGCUCAACACCGCGGGUGGCGCUGUGGGUUAAACCACAGAGCCUAGGACUUGCCAAUCAGAAGGUCGGCGGUUCGAAACCCCGCGACGGGGUGAGCUCCCGUUGCUCGGUCCCUGUUCCUGCCAACUUAGCAGUUCAAAAACACGUUAAAGUGCAAGUAGAUAAAUAGGUACCGCUCCAGCGGGAAGGUAAAUGGCGUUUCCGUGCACUGCUCUGGUUCAACAGAAGCGGCUUAGUCAUGCUGGCCACAUGACCCGGAAGCUGUACACCGGCUCCCUCGGCCAAUAGCACCGUAACCCCAGUCGGCCACGACUGGACCUAAUGGUCAGGGGGUCCCUUUACCUUAAAUGCUCAACACAGCUUGGGGAUUAACUUACUUCCUUGUUCCCUGUUAUUACCUAUUAACAUAAGAACAUAUGGCCCACGAAAGCCCACCUAGUCUAGCAUCCUGCUUCUCAAAAGUGGGCAGCCCAGAAGCAGGAGACCUACCAAGGGCAUGCCAAGUUCAGAUACCGGGGGGCAAAGAGAGGUGUUCUCAGCUGCUUCGCCCACUCCAGUUAUGGUUUUGGGACCCUCAUCUCUUCCCAAUUCCAAGUGUGUGCACUUUUUGGAAAGUAUCACAAGACCCAUGAUCUUGACUGGUGUUUAUGGCUCAGGGUUCAGUUUGCAAAGUGUGUGUGUGUGUGGUUUUAAUGGCCAACUUCAGCUGUCAUGCCAUUGGAAACCUGUUUCGGGCUCCCACCUCUUUCUACAGUCACUCAUAUUCUCCAAUUAUCUCCUGCACAACCAUAGUUCGCUGUGACACUGGGAAAACUGUGGUUAUAGCUAACCAUCGCAUGCCUUCAAACCAAAGUUGGAAACCAUGGUUGGGUUUCACGCUCUGGUUUGGAGGCAAAUGAUGGUUUGCAGUAACUAUAUUUUUCAGCUGCCCUGAGGCUUUGAGUUGGGGUGGACUACAAAUCUAAAUUAAUAAAUAAGACUUAUUAUCAUGGAGUUUGUGUGGGGAGGAAGGAAGCAUAAAGAAUUUUAAAAAAAGACACCCCUGUCUAAAGGCUGAAGUAGUGAAGUCCGGAACGGCUUUAACAUGUGAUGUACAUGUAGACUAGAAUGAGGCGAUUGAAUCUUGGUGGUAGAAUGAGCUGCACAAUUUUAACCUGCUGGUAGGGGGUGCCAUUGUGGAAUGCUAUCCACAUACAAAUGCCUUGCAAGUUAAAACAAAAAGCAGGAAAGCAGAGAGAGAAAGCUCUUGCACAACCCACUCCUUAUUGUAGCAAGGUUUUCUUUUCCUCGCAAGAAGAUACAUGAAGAAACAGAAAGCCACAGAGUAGGAAUAAAUGGACAGUUUUCCCAAGUGGAGUGAUGUAGAAAGCGAAAAACCUCAUGUUGGAACUACAACAGCAGAGAUCAUUAAGUUUGUAAGUGAAGGGUUAAAAUCUAUUAGGGCUAAAGUCAGCUAGCCAAGCAGGGGGACAUGUGGGGUAUUGGUUAGUAACCAGGCAAAGUGACAUGAUCUUGACUGAGGUAGCACAUGCCCUGGCUUUGUCCUUAUGAAGGAGUUUCUCCUUGUUAUGGUUGAUUGAAUGUAUUCCUGCCAUGUACAAGGCUUGAACUAAGAAAGUCAAAGCCUCUCUGCUCCUUUCUCCCCAAACUAUGCAUGUUUUUUUUGUUCAGUUUUGCUCAGUUAGAUGUUGUCAGGAUAUAUUUUCUCCUUGGAUUCUGUCUGUGUUAUUUAAGUGACUCUACUAGCACCCCAAAGACAUGUGUUUCUUAACUUGUUCAUAAACAGCAGAGUUAGGGGACAGCUCCACUUGGGUUUGGCUUCCUUUUAGAGGAGAGAUCACAGGUGGCUUAGAAGUUUUGCAAAGAGAGCAUACAUAGAGGCAAACAACAUGUGCUGUCCUUGCAAGAAGCACGUGUCCCCCGCUCUACCUCUGAUCCUCCAGAGCAUGGAUGGGGGGGCCUCAGGCUUGGGGCCAAAAUGUAUUCUUCCCAAACCACAUGCCCAGGCCAUACCCCUCUCCUCAACCGUCCUCUGCACCCUCCUCGACUGUACCCUCCUUGAAUUCUUCUUGCUUGUCUGGGUGGAAGACGGGGGUGUGUGUCUGAUUGCGCCGUGCCACACAAAGGCAAAAUUUGCACCAAUUGCUUCACUCACUUUUGCCCCUGCAUGUGGCCCCCAAAAGAAGGGGGUGUGGCCCUUGGGCUGCACAUGGUUCCCCAACACAGCCUAGUACAGAGAGAGAAAUGCCUGCACCCCAAUAUACUUCGACUAGAGCUGGCUGGCUCUCUCAAAGCAAUCGCCCCUUUCACUUUUGCUAUUCUUGCUCACACAUGCACGCAACACCCUCCCCCCUUUGUUUUGCUGGCUGGCUCCGUUCAGAAUAUGCUGGGGGAAAUCUCCCAACCAUCAGGAACCAGUAAUGUGCUCGUCAAGAAAAGAUACAGCUCAUCCCACGUCCGUGGCAUUGUUCUCAGUUUGGUUGGUUUCCCAAGGAACGGUUGGGACGCGUCACUCUGGGAAAACGCUCUGAGUUAAGGUGCCCCCUGCAUGUUGCUGCGCAUGGAUGCUGCAAGGUCUCAUCCAGAACACCCCUUCAAAUAUUUGCAGCUGCCACCUGAGAUCAGAUCAUUGGGCCGCCUCGCCCCGUCUUCCAUCUCUCAGGGUGGAAGAAACUCCGCCGUAGGCUUUUGAUUCAUGGACCAAGUUACCCACUGGGGGAAAAGUUACUUCCUAACCUGCUGUUAGUCAUCGGUUGCUUAAUGCUCCCCGAAGCUUGACAAACCCUCUUUGCCCCCUGCAAAAAAAUAAAAAAUCUUUUUUGUUUUGAACUCUGAAUCUGGGAAUCGGCCCGUCAAAUCAACUGGCUUGUCGUUUCUGCAGACGGGUGGGAGAAUGGGUUGUUACCUUAUAAAUGUGCAUGCUUCUGCAAUUUUUCCCCUCUUGUGUGCAUAGAGAAUAGCAAUGGGGAAGCUCUGGCCUAGGGAUUAAAUGUGGCUCCCUAGGCCUCUCUCUCUGGCCAGUGGGACUCUCCUCAGGCCACACCCCCUCUCCCAGGCCACACCCCUCUCCCCAGGCCACACCCCUCACCAGUUCUGCUUUGCACGCUCUGUGCAUAGCUGUCAACUUACAGAUUUGAAAAUAAGGGACCAGCAGCCUCUAAAAAUAAGGGAUCAGCAGCCAAAAUAAGGGAUUUUCCAAGGGGCACAGGUAUGUUCAACUUCUGAGCCCCUCCGAGCCAAAGGCAGAAAGCCCGGCCAGCAGCCAAACGAAGCCUCAAGCAGUGGUUCCCACAGCGCAGCAACCCGGGCAAAGGGGAUGCAGCAAGGAAAACCACCGUCACCUCUCUGCUGGGAAGCGCUGAGCAAAGGCGAGUCCCCAGGCAAUGCGGCCAAGUUGAUCGGCACAAGACAUGUAAGCUCCACCCCCCAGUCGUUCUUAGACUCCUUAUUGGGUGAGCAACGCAGCCAAGCAACACAGCUGGAGCCUCCCUCCUCCCUGGCCAGCAGGGAGGGAGGGAGAGAAGCUGCUUCCUUUGAAACCCGGGAAAUUUAAGGGACAUCAUCAAUGAGGGACAGCAGCGGGACACGGCGCUGGGAUAAGGGACUUUCCCGCCAAAUAAGGGACGGUUGACAGUUAUAACUCUGUGAACGUUUUUGCCUGCCCAGAAUGUGUUAUUGAACUUUGCAAUGGAGGGGAGGAAGAUAAUCAAACGCUGUGUGUGGCCCAUACAUACAAAUCCCCCCGCCCUGUGGAAUGUCCUCCUCUCAGAUGUCAAGGAAAUAAGCAACUAUCCUAUUUUUAAAAGACAUCUGAAGGCAGCCCUGUUUAGGGAAGUUUUUUUUUAAUGCUGUAUUGUUUUUAAUACUCGAUUGGGAGCCAGAGUGGCUGGGGAAACAGCCAGAUGGGCGGGGUAUAAAUAAAUUAUUAUUAUUAUUGUUAUUGUUAUUAUUAUUAAGAAUCCUGGGAACUGUAGUUUUUAAGGGUGCUGUGAAUUGUAGCUCUGUGGGGGGUAAACUACAUCCCCCAGAAUUGUUCUCUUUUCAUGGGAGGAGGAAUAUGCUUUUAAUCUGCUUUAAGUGUAUGGUGUAUAAGCAGCCAAAUACACUGCUGUCAGCUCUUUGUAAGAAAGGUGAGGUGCAAAUGCGAUAAAUUAACGUUGGGGGAGCCCAGUGAGAAGCCCCAGAUGCCUUUUCGUCAAGGCUUUGCACAGUCGCUGAGCUCUCUUACAAGAACGAAACUCAGCAAUGCUCCUGAUCCUUCGGAACAAGAUUGCUGAGUGGUUCCUGAGCUAUUUUGUAAAGGGUUUUUUUUUUGGUCAAAUUUGCAUCUGAAACAUUCUCCCCUGCUGAAAAAUGCAAAAGCUGAAGUGUGUGAAAAAUCAGCUUGGCUCUAAUCUUGGAUACAGAUAGUUUAGAGCAAUUCCCAGCUGGUAAAAAAUAAAAUAAAAAAAAAACCGCCAGCAUAAUUGUAGGAAUCGUUGUGGGGGGAUGGAUCUGACAAUUUUGUUAGCAAGGCAUCGUUUUUGAAAUUUGGAGCAUUAUUGCAUUAGGGAGCUAUAUUUGGGGAUGGCUGGCUUAAGCGCAGCUUGCUUAGUUGUUAACCCACCUAUGAUCAACUUAACUCUCCCACUGAAUGCAAAUCCAAUGUCUGCAUUCCCCCCCCUUUUUUUUAUCUUGUAAACACCGGAGGCUUCCCUCGGUGAAAGCAGGCGACUCUCUUUUGACUCUGAUGAGUUCUAGUAACAGUUACUAAGGGGCCUUAAAUGGAUCUGUAAAUCAGACGGGCUCUUGCCGGCGAGAUUCAUCGCUGGGAAAUGCCUGUACCGGUUGACUGGCAAUAUUUGGAAUAAGGAGUUGAGCAAUGAGGCGUCGGAAGCUGUUAUGUAAGGCACAACAGCUACCUAAACAGUGGAGGCAAACGUGUGUUUGUGGGCUGUGGGCAGGGGGAGAGAUUGGGCUGGAGAUUGCCAACCCAAACAACUCAUCCUGGUUUAGAAAGGAACAACUACGUGUGUCCUUUGAUUAAGUUUCCAGGUGCGCUGCACAGGAAUUCUUGUUCCUUUGGCAGACGUAAACGUCAGGAGGAUUUUAUGAAAAGAAAGGCCACCUAAAUAGAAGCCAGGUUAUAUGGGACUGCUCGGAGGAUGCGAUCCAUUGGAGCCUUUUCAGAUUUUCACAGGGGAAGAGAAGAGAUUUCAGUAAGGAAGAGGAAGAUUCUCCGCAUGUUUUAGACAGAGGGCCUUCUCGGUAGUGGCACCCGCCCUAUGGAACACCCCCCUUCAGAUGUGAAGGAAAUAAGCAGCUAUCCUAUCUUUAAAAGACAUCUGAAGGCAGCCCUGUUUAGGGAAGCUUUUAAUAUUUAAUGCUGUAUUGUUUUUAACACUCGAUUGGGAGCCGCCCAGAGUGGCUGGGGAAAAUCAGCCAGAUGGGGGGGGGUAUAAAUAAUAAAUUAUUAUUAUUAUUAUUAUUAGAAAACCCACACUAGGAUGUAAUGGCCUGCAGCACAGGCCAUUUUGCCACCUGAGGCAAAACAGGAAUGUGCAGCCCCACCCCCUUGCUGCAUCCCCACUGCCGGCACCACACCUCUCGUACCUGCAUGGAAGCAUUUGCAAAGCUCUGGCAGCCACGCGGGCAUCUGGUGAAAUCUUGCAAGAUCUCUCUGGAAACCAGUGCUGCUAGCAGUGGAGGCUAGUCCACCACCUGAGGUGGGUGCCCCACCCUGCCUCACCUGUGGGCCGGACCCAGUUAUACAUUGGAUAUGUGCAAGAGCCGGUAGGGUGGGUGUGUGGUGGUUAGAAUGUUGGACCAGGACCUGGGAAGCCAGGGUUCAAAUCCCCGCGUGGAAAAGUGGGAUAUAAAUGCAGCAAACAAACAAAUGUUAAAUCGCAAACAAUAAAAAUCCAAACCAAUAGUUCACAAAAUCAGGGUAUUUUAUAUCAGUCUUGUAAAUACAGUGGUACCUCGGGUUACAGACGCUUCAGGUUACAGACUCUGCUAACCCAGAAAUAGUACCUCGGGUUAAGAACUUUGCUUCUGGAUGAGAACAGAAAUCGUGCAGUGGCGGCGCAGCGGCAGCAGGAGGCCCCAUUAGCUAAAGUGGUGCUUCAGGUUAAGAACAGUUUCAGGUUAAGAACGGACCUCCAGAACGAAUUAAGUUCUUAACUCGAGGUACCGCUGUAAUAACAUGCCUCUGACAAAUAAGAAUUCCUUCCAAUUCAGUAGCCAGAUGUAUUGAAUAGAUAUAUUUGCAAGGCUGAAUUAAGAGCAUUUGUUUGAUUCCUUAAGAAAAAGAUCAUAAGGGCACAAUUAGACCCAUGACUGACUUGCUUUCCGUUUUUAAGAAGUCCAAUAGCAGCAGCUGAUGGGGGGUGGGGUCUCCUUCAGUCCUAGGCAAUGUGGGAAUAUAGAUAUAGGCACCUAUAUCUGUUUCACCUAAGGGUCAAGUAGUAGGCAUGGGGGUAAUUCUCACUGCAGAAAGGGCUAACUUCCCUCCCAGUGUGUCUGAGGGUAUGCAGGAAUUGGCCUGCUGCAAAAAACCGGAACUUACAUUCAUUGCCCUGCCCACAUUCCCCUCCGGCCCUGCUCUCUACUGGCACGCGGCCCUUGGAACGUAGCUCAGAAGCAAAUGUGGCCCUCGAGCUGCAAAAGCCCCCGCCCCCUUGAUCUAAGCCCCUCUUGAGCGGUUCUGUUGUAUCAGCUUUCGAGUACACCAAAAGGGGAGAUCGUCUGGGGUCUUUUGGAGUAAGCUACUUCCUGCAUGAUGAGAGACGGGUUUUUGUGUGUGUUUUUUGCAAAUGACGCAGAUGUUUCUACACCCUCCCUCCCCUUCACAGGGCCUGAGCUUUGUGGCUUCUCCGGUGUUCCCUGCACACAGCUGACAUCUUGAUUUGCAGUCUCCCAGAGACGAGGGCAUCGCUGCUCUCGGACACGGCCCGGCGAGGCGACUGGGCUGUCUUAUGCUCAGUUUGCUGCCAGCAGAAUCGCCAGCCCGUGAAAAGGGACAUUCCUGUGUGGAAAUUCUGUGGACGAUACAGUUCCCUGAUGCUUCCCUCACACACGCGCAUGCCCCCCCCCGAAAAAUCUGGCUUUUGUUGCACGGGAUUCCCCUUCUGUCAAUUUCUCCCUUCCUUUCGGCCUCCCCCGUUACACGUGCUCAGCAUCGGCAGUGCCUACCAGAGCAGAACGAGGAGGCAUAUUUUAAUGUUUAGCAGGAAGCCCCCGAUAGGCCUUUGAGAUAUUAAAAAGAUUUACAGCCCGCCUUUCACUUUUGCAGCAGAACAGCCUCUGCACGGUGGCUUGCGACACUUGUAAAAACAAGAAUCAAUGGAAUGAUUUGCAAAUAUCCUAACUGUAGAAACUAGCACACUGAGCGUAGCUGGAAGUCGGUUUAGCUGCAAGCAAAUACACGUCACCUCCAGCUCGGUAGAAUAUCUCAGUGAAAAGGAGCAGAAACUCUCAGGCCCGGGACUGAAUGCGGUCCCUCAAGCCUUUCUGUCUGGCCCAUCGGUCUUCUUGGUGCAGCACCCAGUUCAACUAUGGAACUGGCUGCCACAGGAGGCAUCGAUAUCCACUGACCUGGGUGUCUUUGAAAGAGGAUUAGACAAAUUCAUGAAGGCUAUACCUAUCCAUUCUGAAGGAAAUCAGCCCUGAGUGCUCACUGGCAGGACAGAUCGUGAAGCUGAGGCUCCAAUACUUUGGCCACCUCAUGAGAAGAGAAGACUCCCUGGAAAAGACCCUGAUGUUGGGAAAGAUGGAGGGCACAAGGAGAAGGGGACGACAGAGGACAAGAUGGUUGGAUAGUGUUCUCGAAGCUACCAACAUUAGUUUCACUAAACUGCAGGAGGCAGUGGAAGACAGGAGUGCCUGGCAUGCUCUGGUCCAUGGGGUCACAAAGAGUCGGACACAACUAAACGACUAAACAACAACAACAUCAAUGGCUGCUAACCACAAAGGCUAUUCUCUGCCUCCGUAGUUGGAGGGCGGUCAUGCUUCUGAACGCCGGUUGUUGGAAACCGCUGGAGGGUUCUCGUGCUCAUGUUCUGCUCCUUGGUUUCUCACAAGCAUCGGGUUGGCCACUGUGAGGACUAGGAUGCUGAACUAGACGGGCCUUUGACCUGAUCUGGCAUGCACUUCUUGUGCUCUUAUUGCCCAAGGAGAUGGAGGAAGGGAGCCCUUGGCUGUGCUGGUGUCCCAAUCACACAGAGCUCUCACACUUUCAAUACAGAGAAUCACAUGUUGGAAAAAAGAGGACCCAGCAGUGGUAAUGGGGCUAAAAGUGCAGCCCCUCACCCUUUUGUAUACUAGGGUGUGCCCCAAUGCAGGGAUGGCCAACAGGUAGAACGUGGUCUACUGGUAGAUCACGAGGGGUCUUUGGUAGAUCGUGGUAGCUUGCUGUUGCUGUUCUUUAGUCGUUUAGUCGUGUCCGACUCUUCGUGACCCCAUGAACCAGAGCAUGCCAGGCAUUCCUGUCUUCCACUGCCUCCCACAGUUUGGUCAAACUCAUGCUGGUAGCUUCGAGAACACUUUCCAACCAUCUCGCCCUCUGUCUUCACCUUCUCCUUGUGCCCUCCAUCUUUCCCAACAUCAGGGUCUUUUCCAGGGAGUCUUCUCUUCUCAUGAGCUGGCCAAAGUAUUGGAGCCUCAGCUUCAGGAUCUGUCCUUCCAGUGAGCACUCAGGGCUGAUUUCCUUCAGAAUGGAUCGGUUUGAUCAAGAGUCUCAUCCAGCACCAUAAUUCAAAAGCACCAAUUCUUCGGCGAUCAGCCUUCUUUAUGGUCCAGCUCUCACUUCCAUACAUCACUACUGGGAAAGCCAUGGCUUUAACUGAAAAAGCUCAACAACUUUGGUAGAUCACUGCCAGUUUUUUUAUAGUGGGAGUAGAUCUCAGUCUCUUGGACAUGCCUGCUAAUGCAUACAUAGGGCUCAUAGGAAGAAAUUCAACGUAAUGCUGUAGAAUCAUGGAAUCAGAGAAUUGCAGAGUUAGAAGAGAUUCCGAGGUUCAUCUGGUCCCCUCCCCUAUGUUCUGUUCUGGGGCUGCACAGGCAGAGGCGGAGCUAACUCCCGGGGAGCAGCGCGGCAAUGUCACCCCCCCCAGGGAUGACACCUGGGGCAGGGAUGACCGCACCCCCUUCCUCUGCCAGUGUGCACAGGGAGAGAAGAGUCCUUGUUCUGGCUUCUGCUAGUGGAACUGGUUAGCUGAAUACCACCCAUAACCUUGAUAUUUGGAAAUGGGUGGUGCAGAGGAUCCUGCUUGGCACUGAGGGAAGGUGGGGGGGGGAGAAUGCUGUGCCUUUUUAAGCGCUCCCAUUUCUGUCAGCCAAAGCGUCACGUGACCACGAAUACACCCCAAAGCGCACAGCGGCAAAUUGCAAUUUGCAUUAGUGCCCUGUUAAGAACAAAAAAAACCAGAGGGUGAUUGUGUAUUUGGGGUUAUUUAACCCUGAUUAAAAUCACAGUGAUUCUUGAGAAGGUGCCUGCAGGCAGCGGAACAUCUUAAGAGGUUUGGCUGCUCUGGCUUGCCAGCCCCCCCCCCCAAGUGCAGUCAGGGGGAGUCAGUGCACUGAGCUUUCAGAACAGGCACUCAGACAAGAACCUGACUUGCUCUAAGGCUAAGGUGAAUUAGUUACAGUUUUAACAACAAUAAAGGGCAAAUUUAGAGGAGGAAAGAGGAGGGGAAAUUAGCUGGGCAAUUAGAACUGGUCCUGAGAAUCCUGAUUAAGGGGGGCGGGAUUGAUUCGGUUUUCAUUCAAAGGUUCACCUACUUGGAUCACAUUUCCUGAAACCGUACGUGAACUGAAACACAGCAAUCCUUUGAAACCCACACUUCUCUGAAUUUUGCACUGCUGUUCUCCAGCCAAGUAAUGUGUAAAAAACAAAAACACGUACUGUAGUGAAGCGUGCAUUAAAAUGCAUAUAUAUCGGUGAAAAUAACAUGCAAGGAUGCAUUGCAUUAGGGGAAAGUGGCAUGCAAAACUCCAUAUCAGGCAAAAUUGCACCCAAAGAUGUGUACAUUAGGAGAAAUUCUUAGUAAAAUGUGGGUGGCUUCUCAUAAGGAUUUUUUAAAAAAUAAAUAAAUCACAAAACUGAUGUCAAGAACUGAAAAUAAGGAAUGAAGGUAAAGGCACAUUAAUAGCUUCACCCAUCCCUAACCCUAAGGCGUUGGUAGCUGCAGACUAAGAUUGGUGGCCACCACCUUCCUCACUUACCUAUUGGUGUGUUUGGUGAAUACCUGGAUGUAGGAUUGCAAAGUCAGGAGAAUUCCAGACUCUGAGGUUUCAGGGCCCAAACAUGAGACCCAGGGGUGGCUCCUCUUGAUGUCAUAGAGUGGGCCCUGCAGAUGCGAGGGAAGGAGGGCAGACUCGAGUACCUGUGCUGCAAUAUGCCACUCUGAAGCUUGCAAUAAUUAAAGGCACUCUUGCCCACCUGGAGAUUCAAGCCCUGCAACCACCACCUGAAGGGGGCCUGGCAAACAUCAGGUCAGACCUGGAGGUCAGGCAACCGUACCUAGAGCGGGGCAGUGUGCUCUAUGCAGUCAGCUGAUCAGCAGCCGCCUUUUGCUUGUGGCACAGUUGCAAAGUGGACAGAGUUGGCCUUGCCUCUUUGAGCUCUGAUUGACAGCCAUGCCACACCCCUGGGCCCAGCUGCUCCAUGCUUAGCCUGAUGGGAACUGUAGUCCCAAACAUCUGGUGGGCACCAGGUUGGCUGAGGCUGCACCGGGGUGCCUCUAUUUUCACCUUUCUUUUCUGUUUCUUUUGCAAUGCUAAAAUGUCUGGGUCACUUCUGGAAUCCACCCAGGUCCAACUUCCGAGACUGCAAGCAUGGCAAAGUGCUUUCCAAGUACUCAUAUUUUCCCCCACACACAUAGUUAUCUCAGCACUCCUUACAACAUCCCUGUGAGGCAAGCCUGCUUUGUGGACCCUCUCACCUCAAAACUGCAGACUGGGCCAGGGGCUGGGGCUGGGGCUGAAAAAUGAGAUUGAAUAGGGGCGUUAUUGGGACAGGGGUGAGAUCUGAACCGUGGGCACGCUCUCUUUGCUAAUACCCCUCUGCGGAGUGGAUGGCAUGUUUGCUGCCGCUGCUAAUACUAAAAAACCAAGCUGGGUGCUCUUGGUUUUGUUGCGAAUUGCUCAGCUUAGAAGCUUUAUCUCUGUUGCAGCUGUUCCUGUGGAGGGUCUGACUUGUUUAUCAGGAUCACGAGGAUUUUUUUUUUAAUGUUAUCUUUAGCCUAGGUUCAGCAUUAGGCCAGUUGACUGUGACAGUUUCCCCUCAGAACAUUUUUUCAGAAGAGAUUUCCAUCUCAGUGGGCGACUCCUAAGUUGCGGAAGGUGGCAUGAUGUUCUCUCUGGAGCUUUUCUGCCUCCAUUUUUUCCUCUCUCUCUCCUUCUCUCCCCUCCCUCCCCUCUCCACCCACAUCCUAUGCCCUGAUGUGCUGAACCCUGACAGCAGAGGACUCUGCAGAUCAGUCAUUGCGUUACGUGCCUUGAGAAAAGAAGGUUGUGUUGUCUAGUGCAGGGCUGUGCGCAUUUAAGUGUGUAGGCUCAUCGAGCAUAGAAUCCAGCAUCCUGAGAAUUUCAGCUGCCGCUCUCAAGAUUCUAGCCCUCAUGUAUUCAGCAGGUGACUUGAACGAGCCCAGGCAGUGUCUAGUGCAAGCUCAUAAACCUGGAUAGUGGCUUCAUAGGCAAGACUGAUCCAUAAUUGUCAACUUUUCCCUUUUCUUGCGAGGAAUCCUAUUCGGAAUAAGGGAAUUUCCCUUAAAAAAGGGGAAACGUUGACAGCUAUGGACUGAUCCCAGGCCAAAGGCCACAUCCAGUCAAGAACCAUCCAUGGUGCUCCUCUCCCAAUUGUCCAACUUCCGAACCUUGCUUUUAAAAAAAUGUUUGUACCUCAUUUCACAACUUGGAUGCAUGAUUUCUCCUUGUCAUAUAAGGCAACUGCAUUUGCAUGUAUAGCUCUAAUCUAGGAACGGGGGAGAAAGUUGAUUCGGUUCACAUUUGUAUGCAAAACCUACUUAAUUUGCACUUUAUGAACCGAAAUGCACGCAUUCUUCGAAAUUUGCACUUCUCCUAAUUUUGCAAUGUGGUUCUCCAGCCAAGUAAUGCAUGCACAAAUGCAUAUUACUGGGAUAAAGCGUGCAUAGAAAUGCAUAUUUUAGUGAAACCAGCAUUCAGAAAAUGCGUUACAUUGUAGCACCCUGCUUGUGGUUAACGCUUAGCUGGAAUGAAAUAUUCAACGCAGCAAUAGAGAAAUUAAAAUAAUAAUUUAUUUGUCAGACAAAUAAAUGAGAGACACAGUGGUAUAUGGAUACCAAAGCUCUGCCUACUCCAGCCCUGAUGGCCAGCACUUAUAUUUCCUCAGCCCAGCCCCUUGCUCCUCCUUUGGCUGCCUCUGUCCAAUCAGCCUGGUUGAAAUUCCUAUUGGUUGUUUGCUAGAACCAAUCAUAAAAGAUACACCCAUUUCCUAUUUCCUUUUAUGGGAGACAAAGAGCUAUAUUUCCUUGUAUCCAUAAAUGGCAGACAAGUAGCCAUAUAUCUUACAUUUACCUCGACCAGGCACCUCAAUUACCAGAUAACCUUUGGCCCCUGUUGCCCUAUUCCCUGCAAACCAGAUGGCUAAAGCAGAUGGUGCAUGGUUUUUAAUUUUUUUUUAUCUUAAAGAGAUCUUGAGUUCACCUUCUCACCCACCAUAAUAGGAAUCUAACAUAAGAAUCUAACAUUUCUUACUUUCUAAAUCCUUUGCAUAAUUACAUUUAAGCCAAUAUAUUUCAUACAUAACAUAGAUAGAUUUUUAGAAGCAAAGGCCUUUUCAAAUUAAAGGAAUUUAGUAAAAGCUAAGUUCUCUUAAGUUCUCUAAAUUCUCUGAAGCUUCAGAACAGCUUGGAGAGAAGCCUUUUUCCCUAACCAGCUGUUUCUAAAAGCAACCUCUUCAAUUUAACCUUUAACCUUAUGGCUCGAGUCUUCUGUUAAACAAUAAAUUUCACUAUUUACCAGCUCUUAAUUGUGUUUUUGCAGCUUGAUUGUAUUCUGGUCAGUGUGACCUUUUGCUCUCUGGCUCUAAUUUCCUUUUACAACCCUGAAAUACUUUUUACAACCCUGAAAUACUGCUAUUUAUAGCAGUGGGGCCCUUGAACAGCUGCCAGAGUAUUCAGCUGGUCUCUCCCUGGCAUGAGAGAUAAAAAUAUUUACAAAUAUAUUUUUUAAGCUCAAAGCAGAUCUUGAUUAGAUGCCUCAUUCCCCCCUUUCAAGCUCAAGGACCUUCACCCCAAGUGUCCUUGAUAGCUUGACCUUCAUCAUAUUCCUGAGGUAAAGCUCUGUAUAGGGCCAUAAUAUGAGGUAAAGUUUCAUUUGAAAUCAUCUUGCUAAUUGUACUUCUAAAACAUGAAAUGAUACAUGGCACCGUACAUAAAACCAUUACUACUACCGUCAAGAAAAACAAGCAAGACAAUAGUAUCCCUUUGAGUCCCGCAACAUUAGGUAACCAAUUGGUGAGCCAUCCCAUAUCCCAUCCUUCCCAUAUUUGUACUGGGACAUGUGCUAUACUCUCCAUCUUUGUGGCCAACACACGGAUUGCCUCACCAUUAUCAGAAAUGUUAAAGCAACAGGCAUUCCCUGUCAAGUUCAAGACUCCACAUAGGCCUCCCUGCCUGGCAAGUACAUAAUCCAUUCCCAUUUUCAGCUGCAAAAUGGCGGCUCUACUUUCAUCCAACUGUUGUGCAAUAAGUCUCAAACUCUGGGCCGUUGCAUUGGUUACAAGUUCCACUACUGCUUGCAAUCGAAUUAUUCUGUUUAGAUUAUAAAUAGGAUCCCGUGCCCCUUGUAUGAGCUCAUCAGGAUUCCAGGAGGCAGGCUCAUAAUAGGCUAUAAUGCGCUCUGGUGGCCAAUCAUCAGUAUCACUCCAACUUUGGGUACUUCCUCCUGCUAUAUGAGAAAUAUCAGCGUUUCUUCGUGUACGCUUUGCCGAACUAGUGGGCAUAAUCCACAUUGGUGGUAAUACCCAUCCCAGGAAGCAAGUCCCACUCCAUUUGGGAGGGAGUUGCUUGUAUGCCCAUUCUCCACAUAUCCACCACAACCAUCGGGUCUGAGGUUUUGGUACGUGGAGUGCAUAAGGCGAAAUAUCAAAGGGCAUAGAGUUCACAGUGCAGUAUGUUAGAUUGCCUUUUCUGUCACAGUUAUGUUCCACACCAGUUUCCAUGCAUGAAUAAAAGGAGGUGCACAGGGCAAGGUAUUCCGAGUUCGAUAGGUAGUACCGUUUGCCCAGGUUUGACUAUUCUUAAUAUAAUCCCAAGUAUAGUGGCAAUGAGAAGAGCCUAUCAUGGUAGAAUCAGCUGCAGCUGAUAAUUUAUGUACACAGAAUUCCCUUGCACAGGUAUAACUCGUAUUGGUUUAGUUGAGUUCCAUCCGGGAAAUUCUGUACUUCUGUUUGGUGUGGCAUUUCGCUUACCAUACCAAUGGCAUUUAAUGGUAUCGGUAAUAAGGGCAUACCUCCCUCUGAAUCAUCUGGUCCAAGAGAGCAAACAAGGCAAUUGGUCCUAUUUGUAACAUUGGCUACCAUCUCGGCUAAGCCUACCCACAUAUUGUGGUCAUGGCGGAAUCCAUAUUUAGCAAAUUUGGUCAGAUUCAAGGACCCUUCCCUUCCCAAGGGAUCAGGAUUAAUAAUAAAAUCAUGUUGAUGUCUAGUAUAUGCAUUUCUUCCACAAAAGAUUACCUUAUUGUGAUAACAAAAAUAUUAGGCCCAAUAUAAUUCCCCAAUGACAGAAAUGGGGAACCACCAAGACCAAAACAUAUAUCCCGAGGAUCCCCAAUGAGUAAUAUCCCUGAUAAUUGUUCCACGGGGGGGGGCAGUCAAUCAAUUGUAUAAGAGAAUCUUCCUGUUCACAAUCGCUGGUUCAGACGCUCCUCAAGCUUCAGGCGUGCGCAGGUCAGCCAGCUUCCAGGUUGUGGCUGCAGCAGGCCGGUCGUCUAAUGUUGCCCGUGACCUAGCCCGUUCCCGUAGGGCUAGAUACAGGGGUUUUGGAGAGAGUCAGUUUAAAAGGAUUAGAGGGGUCACCUUUGCACGUCCAACUGCCUUCGGACUUCUUCAAACGGGAGUGAUGAAUCCAGGGGUCACCUCAGCUACCUUCACCGCUGUUGGAGUAGAGAGCAAGACGGUGUAAGGCCCACGCCACUUAGGUGCAAGUGGAUCACGUUUCCACUCUUUCACCCAUACGCUAUCGCCAGCCUGGAACUGAUGAAUCGGCUCGGCAAUGCUGCACGGCGUGCGCUCGAGGGCCCACCUGUUAAGAGAAACAAAACACGGGAGAGAGAUUGCACUUGUCCCUGUGUCACAUGGUCUCCUAUUUGUUUGAGGUCAGCUGGAAUAUCCUGAACAAAGGAGGGUGGCCUCCCAUACAGGAGCUCAAAAGGUGACAACUUAAGUCUUUUUGUGGGUGCACACCGAACACGAAACAGUGUUAUGGGUAACACAUCUACCCAUCCCAAUCCUGUUUCCUGGGUUAAUUUUGCCAAUUGGGUUUUCAGAGUCCGAUUCAUUCUUUCAGUUUUCCCGAACUUUGAGGCCUAUAUGCUGCAUGCAGUCUCCAUUUCACUUGUAGGACUCGACAUACUUCUUGUACUACUUGAUCAAUGAACGCUGGCCCAUUAUCACUUCCAAUGCAUCUAGGUAAUCCAAACCUCGGGAUCAAUUCAGUGAGGAGUCUCUUAGUUACCUCUCGUGCCUUUUCAGUCCUGGUGGGAAAAGCUUCAACCCAUCCGGUAAGGGUAUCUACAAACACAAGGAGGUACUUGAAUCCCUUAGAAGGGACCAGCUCUGUAAAGUCCACAAUUAGGCUUUCCAUGGGGACGUAUCCCACAUGUUGGAUUCCAGGAGGUUGUACCGGUCCCUGCCUGGGAUUGUUUUUAGCACAAAGAACACAUUUCUGUGAAAUGCAAGUUGCUAAUUGUGAUAGGUUAAUAAUAUACAACUUCCGACUGAGACUCUCUCUGGUUGCAGUACCGCCAAGGUGAGUAGAUUCAUGAUAAUUUCUUACAAUUGUGCCUGCUAGGUGAUGAGGUACAUAAAUCCUAUUGUCCGGCAGGAUCAUCCAACCGUCCUUCACAACCGCUCCUUCCUGUUCAGCCCACUUCCUCUCUUCUGGGGUAUAGUGAGGUUUAAUUUCUUCUGGAACUACCUCUGGUAUGAGGGCUGCUAUAAAUCCUCCCACAGGCUUCUGGGCUGCCUCUCGGGCUGCUUUGUCAGCAGCAUGAUUUCCUCUGGUUAUUGGAUCCCUUCCACGUCCAUGACCUUUGCAGUGCAUUACAGCAAUCUGUUCUGGAGCCCAUACUGCUUCCAACAGGAUUUCUACUUCAGGUCCAUAUUUCAAGGCCUUCCCAUGGGCUCCGAUUAGACCUCUUUCUUUCCAUAGAGCUCCAUGUGCAUGCAGGGUUAAGAAGGCAUAUUUAGAAUCAGUAUAGAUGUUUGCCUUACAUCCGGCUGCCAAUUGCAGAGCUCUAGUUAAACCUAUAAGUUCAGCCUUUUGUGCUGAGGUGCCAGCAGGCAAAGCUUCAGCUUCCACAACUUCCUCAUUGGUGACCACAGCAUAUCCUGCUCGUCUGGCACCUUCAUGCAGGUAACUGCUACCAUCAGUAUAAUAUACAACAUCUGGAUUUUUCAAUGGUUCAUCUUUCAGAUCGGGUCUACUGGAAUACACUUCAUCCAUUAUUUGGAGACAAUCAUGUGAUUCUUCAUCAUCUACCUCUGGUAGGGGCAGCAAAGUUGCUGGAUUGAGCAUAUUCACUACUCAUAGAUGAAUCCUGGGAUUUUCACACAAUAGGCCUUGGUAUCUAGCCAUCCUUGGAUUCGUUAGCCAAUAACUACCCUUAUAUUCCAUGAGUGUCAGAACAGCAUGAGGUACAUUCACAUACAUCGUCUGGCCAAAAGUAAAUUUAUCAGCUUCUUUGACAAGGCUUGCAGUGGCCGCUACUGCCCUUAGGCAUGGAGGCCAUCCUUUGCUACUGAGUCCAAUUGUUUUGACAAAUAAGCUACUGGACGGUUCCAACUUCCUAAUCUCUGGGUCAGGACUGCUGCUGCAAUCCCAUUCUGUUCAUGUACAUACAGCUGAAAGGGUUUUUCCGAAUUAGGCAGUCCAAGGGCUGGGGCCUCCAUAAGUCGUUGUUUGAUAACUAAAAGGCUUGUUGCUGCUCAGGUCCCCAUACGAAUGGGUCCUUUUCUGCACCUCGAGUGCUUUCAUGUAAGGGCUUGGCCAGACUGCUGAAAUCAGGUAUCCAUAGUCUACAAACCCUGCUGUUCCCAGGAAUCCUCUGAGUUGUUUCCUUGUGGUAGGUUCCUUGAUAAGGCAAAUAGCUUCUUUCCUCUCUGGUCUCAAUGCUCGUUGUUGGUGUGAGAUGUCAAAGCCCAAAUAUUUGACCUUUCUAAACAUAACUGUGCCUUUUCUGGGAAACUCGGUAGCCAGCUUCCCAGAGCAAGUGGAGCAGUUCCUCUGUCCCUUCUUUACAGGUAUCAAAAUCCUUUGCCGCUAGUAUAAGGUCAUCUACAUAUUGCAGAACCACCUUUUUCCAGGUAUUGAGGGGUUACUUGUUAGAUCCUUCGCCAAGGCAGUGCCAAAUAAAGUUGGGGAAUUUUUGAAUCCCUGGGGCAAUCUUGUCCAGGUUAGCUGGCCUUUGUUCCUGUCAAAGGGUCUUCCCACUGGAAGGCAAAUAUAGGUUGGCUCUGUGGUGCCAGCCGGCAACAGAAGAAUGCAUCUUUCAAGUCCAAUACAGUAAAAAUUGUUGCUUCUGGUGGGAUCAAACUCAGCAAGGUAUAUGGGUUUGGUACAUUUGGGUGCAAGGUCUCGAUAGCCUGGUUUACGAGCCUCAAGUCCUGUACUGGCCUGUAUUCAUCUGUCCCAGGCUUCCGAACAGGCAAAAGGGUGUGUUCCAUUCUGAUUGGCAGGGCUUAAGCAGACCAUAUUUUAAUAGGCGGUCCAAAUGUUUCUGGAUGCCCUCUGCUGCUCGCUCGGGUAAAGGAUAUUGCUUUACAGAUACAGGGGUAGCCAUAGGUUUUAGGGUUACUACAAUUGGAGCUAUAUUCUUAGCCAUUCCUGGUGGGCUAUUUUCGGCCCAUACUCCUGGUGGCACUUGUAGGGUUCGGAGGAGCUUGUUUAAUUCUGUAUCCAAUGUGGGUUGGACUUGCAGGGCUGACAUUAGGCGCCAUGAUUGUUCCUUAGGUACUGAGAGGGAAAUUAUUCCUGCUGCCUUUGAUGGCAGUUUCAUUUCUGGACCUCGAGGAGUGAAGGUGAUUUGGGCCUGCAAUUUGGACAGCAUAUCUCUACCUAAGAGAGGCAUUGGACACUCAGGUAUAUACAAAAACUGAUGGGUUAAAUGAUGUCCCCAAUCUGGCAUUCUAAAGGUUGGAGGAAAGACCUCUUAGCUGACUGACCAGUGGCACUUUUAAUGACUACACUUUUGGAUGCCUUUUUCUGCAAUAGUUCUGGGAGUACUGAGUAUUCAGCGCCAGUAUCUAUCAUAAAGUCUAUUAAAUGGCUCCCUAAUUGAAUUUUGACCGUGGGCUCCUGGAAGCCUAACUUUAUGGAGUCCAGUCGUUCCUAGUCUUGGGUAAAAUCCUCCUCUGCCAGUCCAAUGAAAUUGUCUCUACUCCGUCCUUGUCCAGGUCUCUGAUAUCUUCCAUCUCGGAUCAUUCCCCGUCCCCGUCCCUGGUUUCUUGGGCCGGAGCCUGGGCCUGGGCCUGGGCGUACUUCUUCCAACCUCAGGGGUUCAGGACACUCCCGCUUCCAAUGACCCUCCUUCUUGCAAUUCGCACAUUGAUUCCUUCCCAGUGGUGGAUUCCUUCCCCGCCCUCUCCCUCCAUUUAAAGGGCGGUAGUCUUGCUUCACUGCUGUGGCUAGCAUCACCAUCUUUUCCUUCUGCCACUUCUUCUUCUCUUGUUUCUCAGCCUCAUCCCUAUUCCGAUAAACUCCCAAUGGAGAUCAUUUCUCUUGACCCGAAAGGCCCCCAUCUCCAUGCCUUCUGUGGUACCUUGGGUUACAUACGCUUCACGUUACAUACACUUCAGGUUACAGACUCCACUAACCCAGAAAUAGUGCUUCAGGUUAAGAACUUUGCUUCAGGAUGAGAACAGAAAUUGUGCUCUGGCGGUGCGGCAGCAGCAGGAGGCCCCAUUAGCUGAAGUGGUGCUUCAGGUUAAGAACAGUUUCAGGUUAAGUAAGUCCGGACCUCCGGAACGAAUUAAGUACUUAACCCGAGGUACCACUGUAAAAUAAAUGCGAAAGCAACCUGGAUAUAUUGCGUUAGGCAUGUUGUCUUACACCAAAAAAACCCAGUCUUUUUGAGACUCGAUGGUUCGCAAUGGCUGUUGAUGGCUUUAAAACUGACCACCUGCUUUUCUGAGCAUCUGGAGUGCAAGUAGCCACAACUGCUUGCAGGUCUGCAAGUGUUUGAAAUUAGUUUUCUUUCUUAGACAUGGCAGGCUUCAGAGGUGCUGCUGUUGCUUUGGGAUUAGCCAACUCUUUCUCCCUGAACACUUGCAACCUGCUCCACCUUAUACCCUUGCACAUUUCCUAAAACUGCGCAUAUGCCUUGACUGUCUACCUGCACACUUGCAACCCGCUCGACUUGUACAUCUGUACAUUUUUCUAAAACUAAAGAACAGUGUGUUGCAGUAGCUCAAGUGUUGGUUUUGGAUGGGAGAGCUCUCAGUUGAAAUCCUUGUUUAACCUUGCUGUUUCCUGGGGUGCCGGGUCAGGCACUCUCACCCCUGUGAGAACACCCCUUGCAGGGGCUGUUCUCAGGAUAAAGUGGAAAGGGGGACUUUUAAUGCCUGUGAAUCCCAACUCCCUGGGAAUCACAACAGGGGAGGACACUAAAAAUAGGGUUGCCAUAUAGUCCUCUUUUUCCAGGACACAUUCUCUUUCUUUAAAAUGGGUAUUUAAAAUGGGAGUCGUAGCGAUCCUCAGUUAAAAGUAGAAGUUGGCAAAUGUGUUCUCUUCUUUGCUUUUCAAAAUAUGGCAACCCUAACACUAGUUCUGUGGGUUAAACCACAGAGCCUAGGACUUGCCGAUCAGAAGGUCAGCGGUUCGAAUCCCCGCGACGGGGUGAGCUCUCGUUGUUCGGUCCCAGCUCCUGCCAACCCUGCAGUUCGAAAGCACGUCAAAGUGCAAGUAGAUAAAUAGGUACCACUCUGGCGGGAAGGUAAAUGGCGUUUCCGUGUGCUGCUAUGGUUCCGCCAGAAGUGGCUUAGUCAUGCUGGCCACAUGACCCGGAAGCUGUACGCUGGCUCCCUCGGCCAGUAAAGCAAGAUAAGCUUUCGAACUGCUAGGUUGGCAGGAACAGGGACCGAGCAUUGGGAGCUCACCCCGUCGCAGGGAUUCGAACCGCCGACAGAAGUGGCUUAGUCAUUCUGGAAGCUGUAUGCCGGCUCCCUCGGCCAGUAAAGCGAGAUGAGCGCUGCAACCCCAGAGUCGGCCACAACUGGACCUAAUGGUCAGGGGUCCCUUUACCUUUACCUAGCACCAGUUCACUCAGGUCCUGUCUGCAGGCUUCCUAUAGACAACUGAUUGGCCAUUGUGAGAACAGGAUGCUAGACUAAAUAACAACAAAACAAAAAAUUAUUACUUGUACCCCGCCCAUUUGACUGCGUUGCUCCAGCCACUCUGAGCAGCCUCCAGAAUGGGCCAUCCCCACUGUAGCAGGGCUCUUUUCAGGUACUUAUGUUCUAAUUAGGUUUGGCUAUUAGCAUAUAAAGCCUUAAAUGACAUGGAACAAAGUACCUAUGGCAGCAUCUUCUCUGCUACCAACCCAGCUGCUUUGCUCGUCAAAAGAUGCCCUUUCUUGUUGUCCAAUCCACAGUAGAAGCCAAGAGGGGAGUGAAACGAGAUAGGGAAUUAUCAAUGGUGGUGCCACAACUACCGAACUCCCUCUCAGAUGGCAUUCAGCCUGCAAAAAUCCAGAUAUCUUUGAGUGCUUUGCUUCAGAUUUGCUCCCUCCUCCUAGGCGCUGUAAAAGGAGAUGUUUCAAACUGAUAUAGCGGAUGCAUUGUUUUAUUAUUAUGGGCUGCGUACAACAACAACAGAACAACAACAACAAUUUAUUACUUAUACCCAAUUGGGUUUUUUGGCUGUACUUACUGUAACAACUUCAUGGUGAGUACCAACACUUUUCCCCCCCUAGGAAAUAAACCACAGGAAAACCCUAAAAUGUCUAUCAUUUGACGGAGAAGGGGGGAGAGAGAGAGAGAGAGAGAGAGAGAGGUUCUUUGCCUCAAAACCAUAACUUGAGAUUACCAUUCAAUCCAUAUGGAAGAGCUGUGGCAGGAAAUGAACAAUUGGUCCCCAGAUUUGAAAUGGUUUUCGCUGCGAUGCUCAAGGUGAUAAUAAAACAUGCCCGCUGUUCAGUCGCAGAGGGGAAUAAACAAGACAGGAAAGAAGAGAGCAAUGGAGGAAGAAGGAAGGAAAGAUGUUGGGGCUGAUCAGUUCACAUAAGCAUCUGAUAUUCACAUGCCUCUUUUGGCCUAGAAAUCAUAACGGAGAUUGCAUAAGAUUGGGCAUUCCUGCAAGAGUUGCAUUCUUAUUGUUUUCAGCUGUGACAGCCUCUCUGGGCAUAUUUUGGUCCUGGGUAAAAUGCCAUUGGUGUGGAGGGAGGGGGAGAGAGAGAAAGAGAAGCACGAAAGCAUCACGUGUUGAUGACAAAGGCUCUUUGAUGCCAUCAAGGCAUUCUCUGUUUUCUUUAGCAAGAUUUGUAUACCACUUGGUUGCAAGAAAGCCUGUAAGCGGUUUACAACGAUAUGAAACAAAGCGUGGAAAUUCUCGAUAAAAGAACAGUUUAAAAUGGGUGUUCCCUGUUCAGGGAAGAUUUUACAGUGGUACCUCGGGUCACAUAUGCUUCAGGUUACAUACGCUUCAGGUUACAGACUCCCCUAACCCAGAAAUAGUGCUUCAGGUUAAGAACUUUGCUUCAGGAUGAGAACAGAAAUCGCGCACCAGCGGCGCGGCAGCAGCAGGAGGCCCCAUUAGCUAAAGUGGUGCUUCAGGUUAAGAACAGUGUCAGGUUAAGAACGAACCUCCGGAACGAAUUAAGUACUUAACCCGAGGUACCACUGUAAUGUGUGACAUUUUAAUGUAUUUUUAAUCUUUGUUGGAAGCCGUCCAGAGUGGCUGGGGAAACCCAGCCAGAUGGGUGGGGUACAAAUAAUAAAUUAUUAUUGUUAUUAUUAUUAUUAUUAUUAUUAUUAUUUAGAAACACUGAAAAGAUAACAGUAGCCCCAAAGAGAAAACACAUGUAAUGUUUCUGCAUGUUUAGGAGAGGUUUGGCUAAACGAACAUGCUGUGAGCAAGUGCCAGAAAGUGUCAAUAGGUAGGGAGUUCCAAACUGCAGAUGCUCCCAAACUGAAAGAUAAUAGAACCAUAGAACGGUAGAGUUGGAAGGGACCACGAGGGUCAUCUAGUCCAACCCCCCGCAAUGCAAGAAUCUUUGGCUCAACGUGGGGCUCAAACCCAUGACCUUGAGAUUAAGAGGUUCAUGCUCUAGCACCUUGUAUGCGCAGAGUAUUAUGUGGCACCUGCUACCAUUUCCUCAGCUGAAUGGCCGUUUGAUGUUUUUAUCCAUCUGAACAGGCCUGUCACCCUAGGGGGUUAACUCUUGGCAACCCCACUGUGGUCCCAAUCCACAUUGGACACCUUUGGGGUCGUCCCAGGGGGGAUAAGCUGGAUCUGCUUCGCACUGUCUUUUCAAUAGCAGUGAAAACCCACUGCUGCAAAAACAAAACAAAACCUCACCUUGUGCAAAGCUUGUGUAAACUAAACAAGGAAGACGCACCACCACAAAAUGGCCACUAGGGGAGAUGGCCUUGGGAAAAAAGGGAAUAUGACAGAUUUCAUGCAGGGUAAUCCUAAUAGAUCAUGCAUAGAUAUCAUGCAUAGGUAAUCCUAAGAGGGACGCGGGUGGCGCUGUGGGUAAAACCUCAGUGCCUAGGGCUUGCCGAUCGCAUGGUCGGCGGUUCGAAUCCCCGCGGCGGGGUGAGCUCCCGUCUUUCGGUCCCAGCUCCUGCCCACCUAGCAGUUCGAAAGCACUCCUAAGUGCAAGUAGAUAAAUAGGUACCGCUUUCUAGCGGGAAGGUAAACGGCGUUCCGUGUGCUGCGCUGGUGCUGGCUCGCCAGAGCAGCUUCAUCACGCUGGCCACGUGACCCGGAAGUGUCUCCGGACAGCACUGGCCCCCGGCCUCUUAAUUGAGAUGGGCGCACAACCCUAGAGUCGGACACGACUGGCCCGUACGGGCAGGGGUACCUUUACCUUUACCUUAAUCCUAAUAGGCUAUGUUUCAUUUGUUUAUUUAAAAGCAUUUAUAAACCAUUUACUGUUGCUUAAAAUCUCUAGGUGGUGCACAGCAUCAAAACAAUCAGCAAAACUUGGCAAUAUCAUGAUGUCAGCCUGGACAAGUCUUUGAUCUCACGCAGCAGGCUUCCCUUGGUUUCCAGGUGUUUCCCUUUCCUCUCAAGUAGGCAGCUAGCUGGGCACUUUGUUAGCAGCCCUGAAAAUCCUGCCUCGUUCCCUUGUCUCCUCUCUUCCUGUGUCCCUGGAGCAGAGGAGGGAAAUCUGAGAGCCAACCAGGAACCUGCAUUGCUGUUGUGAAGACUUCUGGUCCUCUUGGGGCAGUGACCUAACGAUUCAGUGGUUCUUUGAGGUCACUGGGAGUGUGGACAUCUGCUGGAAGGGGUCCUGUUCCCCCAGCUCUUCCUCCAAGGAGAUCUCAGGGUCCAGGAGUGAACCCUAGCAGUGAGUUUUCCCACCAACUAUACACUCUGGACAGCAUCUUGCAAUGCCAUCUCCCUGAUAGAUGUACCUGUCUGAGAGUCCUGCUUGCAAAUGGUUAUCUGUGGCAUUCACAUGUUAAAUGAGCUUAACAUCUGUGUGCACAACGCUUAAACUUGUAACGUGUGAGGGGACUGUUCAGUUUUGCAUUGCGUAAAUCUAGCUUUGGAAUUCCAGUGGUGGGGUGGGGAGGCACAGGUGUGGGCUAGGAAGCCUCCCUGAACCUUUGUAAUUCUGUAUCUCAAUGUUACCCAGCACAUUUUCUCUCAUAAGGGUAGCAUUCCAGUUUGUGCCCUGGCACAGCUUUCCUGAAAAAAGUAAUGCAUCCAUAUUGAUCAUCUUUCUAUGCUUUGGCUACUAAACAGCCUGCUAAAUAUAGAAGCCUAUCAUCAAUAUCAAUGCUCAAUUAAUUUCCAUUUGUGGAGUCCAGUUGGAAAGCAGGAGGAGUGCUUUUUGGACAAACACCAAUGGUCAGUAGCUUUAGAAAACCACUGAGAAGCGAAUGGGAUUAUCUGGCAGCAGUGUGUUUGUGUGAGAGAGAGGUAGUGUGUUAGGAUUUGUGCUACGUUUUAGUGUCUCAAAUGUAAAGAGGGAAGUUUCAGGUUUUUCUUUUAACUAUUUGGUUUCAUACAGUAAUGAUUAUUCUAACUUCUGAGAAAUUUACUUAAAAAUUAAGGGUAUCUCAAGGUGCAGAUAAACCUAUGGAUUUUGUCUUCAGUUGGAGAUACUUUUUACUUACAUGACAAGCCAAUCACAGAGAUGGCAAGGCCCAAUGAAAUAUGUGUGUUUUUUAUUUUAUUCAUAAUAUCUGCUUUCGACUCUUGUUGUAACAUCUAAUUCAAUGAGUAACCUGUUGAGAAUGGCCUUUAUUUUAUGAGGUAAUGACUGUGAACCCUGGGGUUUCGGGGGGAGGGGGAUUGGUACUUCUCGCUCUCUCUUUUAUUUAUUUCCUAUUUCCUAUUGGAUUGUUACUUUAACUUCAUAAUAAAGCCUGGAAAAAUUAAAAAAGCUAAUGUGGAAUUUUAAUGUGGAAAUUUAAAAAAGCCAGAUGUGGAAUUAGCAGUGCCAAUCAACAAGGUUCAUGAAGAAAAUGUUAACUUGUCAAAUGAUCCUUGAGGAUUGUGGUUUCCUUUAGCCAGAAUGGAAACAAGAUGCCAACGGCCUCAGACCAGAAAUUGUAGUUGCAGGAGGAUUCGGGAAAAUUAUUCAAUGUGCCACCAUAGUGAAGGAAGACACUGCUGGCUUGUCCUCUGCUGCAGUGUAGCGCCCCCAUCAUAACAGAUGGCCAGGGGUGGUACUGCAGCCUGGCCCAGCCCCACCAUUAAGCAGAGGGAGGCAGGUGUUUCAAGCAGCAGGUGCUGGAGGUGUUGCCGCCAGCCCACUGGCUGUCCCCCCUGUCGCCAGUGGUUAAUGACUGUGCCACCCUCAAAUAAAAAUGACUGUCCCUGCCCCAGUUAGACCGCUUAAGUGAAGAAAGCUUAGGGUAACUAAAAAUAUGAUCUUUGUAUGGAAGGGCUGUGAUGGUAGCUGCUGCUGCUGUUGUUGUUUAGUCAUUUAGUCGUGUCUGACUCUUCGUGACCCCAUGAACCAGAGCACAUCAGGCAGUCCUGUCUUCCACUGCCUCCCGCAGGUCAAACUCAUGCUGGUAGCUUUGAGAACACUGUCCAGCCAUCUCGUCCUCUAUCGUCCCCUUCUCCUUGUGCCCUCCAUCUUUCCCAACAUCAGGGUCUUUUCCAGGGAGUCUUCUCUUCUCAUGAGGUGGCCAAAGUAUUGGAGCCUCAGCUUCACGAUCUGUCCUUCCAGUGAGCACUCAGGGCUGAUUUCCUUCAGAAUGGAGAGGUUUGAUCUUCUUGCAGUCCAUGGGACUCUCAAGAGUCUCCUCCUGCACCAUAAUUCAAAAGCAUCAAUUCUUCGGUGAUCAGCCUUCUUUAUGGUCCAGCUCUCACUUCCAUACAUCACUACUGGGAAAACCAUAGCUUUAACUAUACAGGCCUUUGUUGGCAAGGUAGUACUGAAAAAACAGAACAAACCCCUAUGCUCAGCAGCUGUACCAGGGCACCAUGCUCUUUGCCCAUGGAUCCAGCUGAUGGGACUUGGAGUUCUUGCAACACACAAACUUGAUUCCCCAAGCCCUGAAGUCUUCCGUGUCUACAAUGGGAGCAUCAUAGAGGCUGGAGCACUUUAAACAGGCCCAGAAUAUCCCACUCCUCAACAGUGGGCAUCCUGGGAUAUUUUCAGCACUGCUUUCUUCGGUGUGAGUUUUCUUUCUCUCUUUCUGUGAUGUUGAUGGAAGAACUCUGGUAUGGAGACAAGGAAUUCACAGGGCACUGGUUUAAUGUUGGUCGCUAGUAGGAAUGGAUGAAUCUACCAAUUUUGGUUUCUCUUAGUUUUUCUUCUUGCCAACAUUAACUUCAGCUGGUCUCAUUUCAGCAUAUUUGUGAAAGGUCUGCUUAGAAAUGUGCAUGCAUUUUUACUUCUCCCAAUAUAUGCAGUUUUGCCUAAUAAUAAUUUUAUUAUUUAUACCUCCGCUCAUCUGGCUGGGUUGCCCCAACCACUCCGGGUGGCUUCCAACACAUAUAAAAACGUAAUAAUAUAUCAAACAUUAAAAACUUCCCAAUACAGGGCUGCCUUCAGAUGUCCUCUAAAAGUUGUGCAAGCAAUAAACAUUUUGUGCAAGCAAGCUCAUGAAAUACAUUGUAGUGUUGCACAUUAUUUUCACUAAUACGUGUUUUCUUGUGCCCACUUUUUCGUCGGAGGACUGCAUCACAAAAUUCAGAAAAGUGUGUGUUUUGAAUGACAGCUGGGUUUUCAGUUCACUUACUGGCUCAGGAAGUGCAGAUUACUGAAUGAAUUUCUCCCCCCGUCUUUAGCUGAUGGUUUGUUAAAUUAAAUGUUAUUCUGGCGGGGAAGUAGGGGGAAGAGUAAAUAUGCCCAAAGGAACAGAAGGUUUGGUAUUGUUAUUUUUUUUGCUGCCACCUUGAAGGCGUCUCUUCUUGCAUGGAAAAUCCCUUGCCUGAAUCUCAGGAAAUCAUCUUAAAGCGCUGCAGGGGAAAAAAUAGAUGGAAAGGGUAAAGGGAAGGACAUGAAGCUAAACAAAUGGAAGAGUAAAACAAAAGCAAAGCAGCCGAAAGGCCCUUCUGUGCCUUCGAGUUGCGAUCUCUAGUCCCCAAACGCAAAGCAAAAACAAACACGCUAACUUCAGCACUCAAUGCAAGGGCUCUUCCCAGCUUGCCAUAAUGGAUACCGUAUCUCCCUCUUCGCCGCCCCUGAGGCUAUUUGUUGCAUUAGCAGUAAAACAGCAGACCGGAACCAAAGGGAUUGGCACAUCAGCUGUCUGGGCACGGGGUAAAGUCUGGGGCUCCCUUGCCUCACACAUCGUGGUUUCCAGCAAGGAGAGGAAAGGCUGGUUUCGCCGUUCGUAUCCAAGGCAGAUCAAGACUUGGUGCUCCCUUGAGCUGUUGCGGUUAUUGGCUGAGAUCCCUCUUCAUCUCUCUCUCUCUCUCUCUCUCUCUCUCUCUCUCUCUGCUCCAAUAUUUAGAGCUCUGUCAGGAUUCAUCAUCAGGAUCCAUCAACAUCACCAGAAGCAGCAGCAGGCAGAGUGUGGAGCGCCCUUCCUUAGCUGCCUGAUUCACCUUAGAGCCCCAAAUAAGUUGUUGACCUUCCCCAUCAUUUAGCAAGAGCAAUCAUGUACAUUUGCCUAAUUCUUACAAGGCCACAGGGAGGCGGGUGGCGCUGUGGUCUAAACCACAGAGCCUAGGACUUGCCGAUCAGAAGGUCAGCAGUUCGAAUCCCUGCGAUGGGGUGAGCUCCCAUUGCUCAGUCCCAGCUCCUGCCAACCUAGCAGUUCGAAAGCACGUCAAAGUGCAAGUAGAUAAAUAGGUACCGCUCCGGCGGGAAGGUAAACGGCGUUUCCAUCUGCUGCUCUGGUUGGCCACAUGACCUGGAAGCUGUACACCGGCUCCCUCAGCCAGGAAAGCGAGAUGAGGGCAGCAACCCCAGAGUCGGCCAUGACUGGACCUAAUGGUCAGGGGUCCCUUUACCUUUACUACAAGGCCGCAGCUUUCCCUGGUGCAGAUGCUGGUUUGUUUUCAGCCUGGUAUGCGCUCAGCACUGGAUGCAGGCACAAGUUUUUCCUUCUGCCUCCUCUGUUCUUCUAUUCCCUCUCGGUUGCUGGAAGAAAGCAAGAUGCCCAGGACUGCUACUGAAAGGGCUUUUGAACCCAGGAUGUUCUUAAGCAUGGGAUUAAGCAUUUUAAGGGAUGCUGAGAAUUUCUGCCAGGAGUCCGAAUGUGGCCCUUGUAAUUUCUCUAUUUGGACCUCAGGCCUCUCCUUGAACUAUGGUUGUGUGGCUGGAGGAUAAGAGUGGGUUGCACAGGUGGGUGUAGAAACCAGCCUUCUAAAAAAUGGUAAAAAUUUGCAUUCAUUACUUCAACCGCUUUUGGCUCUGGCUGCGCCCACCCCGGUAUGUGGCCCUCAGAAAGUGUCCCCCAGAAAGGGAAUGAAAAGGUUUCCCCACCGUUGCUCUAAGGCAGCCUUUCUCAACCUGUGGGUCCCCAGAUGUUGUUGAACUACAACUCCCAUCACCCCUAGCUAGCAAGGCCAGAGCUCAGGGAUGAUGGGAGUUGUAGUCCAACAACAUCUAGGGACUCAUAGGUUGAGAACCACUGCUCUAAGCAGUUGCAAAGCACUUAAGCUCAGCAGAAAAGUGUUUGUGUGCAGAAGAUCCCAGGCAAGCUCUGGAAGAAUCCCUAGAGAGGUGCCCUUGGUCAAUGUAGACAGUACAGAUGUAGAUGAAGCAGUGGUCCAAUUGAGGGCCAGAUCCACACCAUAUGUGCUGGUCCCAUGGGUUACCCGAGAGGUGAGGUCCAAGUCUGGUCUGUGGUCAAAGAUGCAAUGUGGAGGCAGUCCGUAGUAGCUGAAGCUGGGUGCAGGGCAGGGAGUCGGGUGAAGUCAGGAACAGGCUUGCAAGCAAGGAGCCAGGGCAAGUCAGGAGCUCAGGCAGGAAAGCAGGACAGGGUUCAGGCAGGAACUAGCAACCAACAAUGUUGCACCCACAACUUGGGACUGGGGCUGGCCGGCUUUUAUCUGCCCCGAGGCAUAGGGAGGCCUCGAUCCUCUGGUGACUCGCCUCUUCUGGCCUGGAGCACCUGCAGGCAAUGGGUCCUCCACCACCUCAGGAGUCAGAGCAGACUCAGCUGGUGCCUGCACCUGAGGAUCCAGCACAGGUGAGGACCCUUCAGGCUCAGGCCCCAGCCCCGGCUCAGCUGGUUCUGGAGGCGGGGAAUCCUGUGCAGGCUGGGAUCCCUCUGGUUCAGCAUCCGAGUCCGAAUCCCAGGCCAUCACACCAUACCUUAAAAGCAUAUCUGAACCACAUUUGAAACACACGACUUUCUCCAAAGAAUCCUAGGCGCUGCAGUCCCCUCACAAAGCUAUAACUCCUCCAGCACCCUUAGGAAACUAAAGUUCCCAGGGCAACUUCUCAUGCUCCUGUAUUUAAGACUGACACGUGGCUGUAAAUCUGCUUGGAUCAGGUUUUGAAAUAUAUGAAAGGCCAUGCAGGAAGGUGGCUCUGGCUUCCCAUUUCAACCUCCCCCUCUUUUUGAGUCACCCAUGAGAAAUGUGCUCUUGCCUAUGAACUGACAGAUUUGUCACUGCUCUUCUCUGGUCUCUUGUGAAUACUUUUGCUUGUUUGUCCCAUCAGGCAUUCUGGAAUCACUUGAGGCUGCUUGGUGUUGCUUUCGGCAAUUUUUUUAUACGUACAAUUCAUUCCUCCAUCCAUUUUCACCUCCAGCUCCACCCCACAACUGGCGUGUGGCCCUCAGAUUAAUGUUAUAUCUGUAGUGUUUGUGUGUGUGUGUGUCUCCGCUGCCUUGGGAACAUUUCUGUUGGAAGGUGGAUUAGAAAUAUAGUUAAAUAAAUUGAACUUUUAUUCUUUUUGUCUUCUUAAAAAGGUUGAUUACCAAAUUUUCUAAGCAGCUUACAUAAAAAUUACAAAAAGCAUACAGUUCAUAACAUCUAUUAAAGUUACUUUAUUUUUCUGUGCAUAAGACGAUAUUUUUUUUGCAAUUUUUUAAAGUUUAAAAUUGGGGGUCGUCUUAUACACAGAAUUAUUUAUUUCUUAAUUUUGGGCUCAAAAAAUUAGGGGUCGUCUUAUACACGGAAAAAUACGGUAAUGAUAAAAACAGUGUCUUCCAGCCAUCACUUCCGCCCCCCCUCCCAGAGUUGUGUCCGUUUUGGAAGUGCAGUCAUUAUCGUCUCCCUCCUUCCUCUUCUCUUUUUACAAUUCUGCUCCUCUGCGUUGUAUGAAUACAUCCGUUUCAUCCCUGUUGACAGGAAUGACACAGGUACAAUUCCUCCACCUUACCCAAAUCUGUGGGCAUCUGCGGGGUGCCCUAUUUCUUUCACUUUUCCUUUCCACAACCCAUCUGUGGGAGAACUGACAACUGGCAAGAUUGGGGGGAAACCAUGUCAGUUUCGCUGGAGUUUCAUUGGAAGGGAGGGCGGUGAAGAAAAUGGCAUUUGGCAAUGCGACACAGAAACGUUACCCAGAUCGUCACCAGGUGCAUGAUGAUUGAUUGCAUCUGGGUCUAGCUGCACAGGAUCAUAUGUGCACACACCAUACACUUAAAGUACAUGACCCCCCCCCCCAAGAAUCCUGGAAAUUGUAGUUUGUCAAGAAUGCUGGGAAUUGUAGCUCGGUGAGGGGUGAAUCACAGCUCCCAAGUUUCUUUGGGGGGAUUUUUCGGGCCUGUCUUCAGGGCAGGCUGGUAUGGAAGUUGUUUCUCUCUCACCAGAAAAGGAAAUGCAAAACUGGGGACACCAUAGAGUGGAGGAAAGAUUCCCAAGUGAUCAAUAAAGGGCUGGAAUGUGCACAUGUGAUCUCAACCUUAGAGAUUAGAAGUGAGGUCCAGCCUCCCCCUCCCCACUUUUUAGCGAAAGACCCCACAGCUUCUUAGAAUCAUAGAGUUGGAAGAGACCACAAGGGCCAUCGAGUCCAACCCCCUGCCAAGCAGGAAACACCAUCAGAGCACUCCUGACAUAUGGUUGUCAAGCCUCUGCUUAAAGACCUCCAAAGAAGGAGACUCCACCACACUCCUUGGCAGCAAAUUCCACUGUCGAACAGCUCUUACUGCCAGGAAGUUCUUCCUAAUGUUUAGGUGGAAUCUUCUUUCUUGUAGUUUGGAUCCAUUGCUCCGUGUCCGCUUCUCUGGAGCAGCAGAAAACAACCUUUCUCCCUCCUCUAUGUGACAUCCUUUUAUAUAUUUGAACAUGGCUAUCAUAUCACCCCUUAACCUCCUCUUCUCCAGGCUAAACAUGCCCAGCUCCCUUAGCCGUUCCUCAUAAGGCAUCGUUUCCAGGCCUUUGACCAUUUUGGUUGCCCUCCUCUGGACACGUUCCAGUUUGUCAGUGUCCUUCUUGAACUGUGGUGCCCAGAACUGGACACAGUACUCCAGGUGAGGUCUGACCAGAGCAGAAUACAGUGGCACUAUUACUUCCCUUGAUCUAGAUGCUAUACUCCUAUUGAUGCAGCCCAGAAUUGCAUUGGCUUUUAAGCUGCCGUGUCACACUGUUGGCUCAUGUCAAGUUUGUGGUCAACCAAGACUCCUAGAUCCUUUUCACAUGUACUGCUCUCAAGCCAGGUGUCACGCAUCUUGUAUUUGUGCCUCUCAUUUUUUUGCCCAAGUGCAAUACUUUACAUUUCUCCCUGUUAAAAUUCAUCUUGUUUGUUUUGGCCCAGUUCUCUAAUCUGUCAAGGUCGUUUUGAAGUGUGAUCCUGUCCUCUGGGGUGUUAGCCACCCCUCCCAGUUUGGUGUCAUCUGCAAAUUUGAUCAGGAUGCCCUUGAGUCCAUCAUCCAAGUCGUUGAUAAAGAUGUUGAAUAAGACCGGGCCCAAGACAGAACCCUGUGGCACCCCACUAGUCACUCUUCUCCAGGAUGAAAAGGAACCAUUCUUGGACAUCUCCUUGCGAGAAGGGUAGCUGAAGGCAUGCCUUGUCCCUGGAUCAACUUGCCUUAGUCUCUUUGAUCUGUUGGGAGUCCCACGGCUCGGGGGGUGGGGGGUGGGGGAGAUAUGUUGGGUGGUGACACGAGGUAGUGCCUUCUCUGUGGUGGCACCCCAGUUAUGGACUGCCAUCCCCUGGGAAGUGAGACUGGCCACUGACCUUGUUGACAUUUCGACACUAAGGAAAGGCCUUUCCAAGGUGUUAGUAUGAGUUGCUGCUGUGAUUGCAGUCAUGUUGGCUGCACAAUAUGUUUUGUGACCAUCUUUCAGUUGUUUUUGAUGCGGGUGGCGCUGUGGGUUAAACCACAGAGCCUAGGGCUUGCUGAUCAGAAUGUCAGUGGUUCGAAUCCCUGUGGCGGGGUGAGCUCCUGUUGCUCAGUCCCUGCUUCUGCCAACCUAGCAGUUCGAAAGCACGUCAAAGUGCAAGUAGAUAAAUAGGUACCGCUCCAGCGGGAAGGUAAACGGCGUUUCCGUGCUCUGCUCUGGUUUUUCCAGAAGUGGCUUAGUCAUGCUGGCCACAUGACCUGGAAGCUGUACGCCGGCUUCCUCGGCCAGUAAAGCGAGAUGAGCGCCGGAACCCCAGAGUCGUUCACAACUGGACCUAAUGGUCAGGGGUCCCUUUACCUUUUACCUUAGGUGCUACUGGAUCAUUUCUCAUUUUGCAUCUUAUAUUUACGUGUUCAUCGUUGUAACUGGCUCUGAUAUUGUGAAAUGGAAGUCGGGAUAGAAGUAUGUUAAGAAAACAAACAGGGAGCUAGCUUAUAUUGCAUCUCAGCUGCCCUUUUUUCAUUGCAAAAUGCUGUUACACAUUCAGUACCGUCUGCCAGUCCUAGAUUCUAUACUGUAAUUAGUUACUUUAUCAUGUCCACUGGUGCUUAAUUGCACUUGUUUUCUUAAUUAUGUGGUGCAAGACUCGUUUGACCUUAACAUGGCUGUGCUUGGGUAAAAGAACUUCAAAGGUGGAACUGCAAUGUGAAACCACUGAAUUGCAGUUGAUCAGGAUAUUCAAUCCUGCCACUUGCGUCCUGAAUUGAGAUUAGGGAUUGUCAUUGCACUGCAUGUGUUAACUAGUUUGCCAGUGCCAGGAUGCUUGCGUUACCACCAACACUGCCUUGUUGUCACUGUAACUAUUUUGCUUUUCCAUAAUUAUCACUGUCCUUAUUGCAGUCUUGUUUCCUCCUCUCAUCUCCUCUCCACCCCCUCUGCUCUCCCCCACAGGAAAUAUGCACCUGUCUAUUUACCUACCAAUUUAACAUUACCUUCCAUGCGUCUGGGGACGCGGGUGGCGCUGUGGGUUAAACCACAGAGCCUAGGAUUGCCGAUCAGAAGGUCAGCGGUUCGAAUCCCCACGACAGGGUGAGCUCCCAUUGCUCGGUCCCUGCUCCUGCCAACCUAGCAGUUUGAAAGCACAUCAAAGUGCAAGUAGAUAAAUAGGUACCGCUCCGGCGGGAAGGUAAAUGGCAUUUCCGUGCACUGCUCUGGUUCGCCAGAAGCGGCUUAGUCAUGCUGGCCACAUGCCCGGAAGCUGUACACCAGCUUCCUCGGCCAAUAAAGCGAGAUGAGCUCCGUAACCCCAGAGUCGGCCACGACUGGACCUAAUGGUCAGGGGUCCCUUUACCUUUACCUUUUCAUGUGUCUGAUGAAGUGGACUUCAGUGGGUCACUAUAGCUUAUGUCGUAUAGUCUUUAGGUUGGCACCAGGCUCUUUCAUCGUUUUUGCUGUGGCAGACUAAAUGCAGACACACCUCUGGAAGUUGGUUUUUUAUUUGUUCAGUGGGGAAUGUUUACUUUUCCCUGUGCCACCAGGAUCAUAACAACCGCUGGCUUACAUUUUUGAUAACAAAGGGCUGGAUCCAUGCAUUUCCCAGCCUCUGAGUGAUUCUGGAAUGUCUGGACCUCGCAGCGGCAGUGCCCAUGCCUUGCAUGCAGAAGGUCUCCCUAUAGCAGUGUGGAGUAAUGAUUAGAGUGUCACACCAGGAGUAAAGGUAAAGGGACCCCUGACCAUUAGGUCCAGUUGUGAAUGACUCUGGUUGCGGCGCUCAUCUCACUUUACUGGCUGAGGGAGCCGGCAUACAGCUUCCGGGUCAUGUGGCCAGCAUGACUAAGCUGCUUCUGGCGAACCAGAGCAGUGCACUGAAACAUCGUUUACCUUCCUGCCAGAGUGGUUCCUAUUUAUGUACUUGCACUUUGAUGUGCUUUCAAACUGCUAGAUGGGCAGGAGCAACAGGAGCUCACCCUGUCGUGGGGAUUCAAACCGCUCACCUUCUGAUCGGCAAGUCCUAGGCUCUGUGGUUUAACCCACAGCACCACCCAUUCAAAUCCCCACUGGACCACGAAGCUCACUGGGUGACCUUGUACCAGUCACUUCCUCUCUCAGCCUAACCUACCUCACAGGGUUGUUGUGGGCAUUGAGCAAGGCGUUGAGCAUGCCCUCUUGAGCUCCUUGGAGGAGGCGGGGAUGCUGGGAUAUAAAUGCAAUAAAUAUAAUGAAAUAUCCAGCAUCUCCUGCUUAAGAAUCUUAGGUAACAGGGCUGGAAACCACUUUUGACUGACACCUUGGAGAGCAGCUGUUAAUCAGAGCAGUAACUAGAUGGAUCAAUAGAUUGAUUCAGUUCCUAAGCUCACCAUUUAACUCUCUGUUUAACACAUCCUCCAUGUAUCUUGUGACUAGGUUCCUAUAGCCAUUUCCCUGCUUCAGGAAGGCUUGGAUGCUAGGGCAAAUUCCUGGAGGAGAGGGCUAUCGAAAGCUCCUAGCCAUGAUGGCUCCUGAAUACAAGUUGCUGGAAACCACGGGAGGGGAGAGGGCGCUUGUGCAAUACCUGGAGGGUCAAAGGUUCCCCACAACUGUCCUGGGAGCCUCCCUGUGUCAGGGAAUCCAGCCCUAUCAGGGGUUCUCAGCUGAGGAAAGGCUUCCAUGGAUGUUCAGAUGAAUGCAGGCAGGAAGAAGCCCUCUUCAGACCUUUUUGCACUGAAUGUCUGAAGUGGAGGCUGUGCAUGCAGGGAUAUUGGGCAUGGGGCUCGCAUGCACAACACACAGACUCAGCCACAUUUCUAAGCGCUCUGGUAAUAGGAAUUGCCUUGCAAGUCAUUGGCAUGGAAACGUCUUGGUGUUUUGCGCUAUGACGUCCAUCAUCCACAGCCCACAGGCAUCACAGUCUGGAACAUCUAGGGCGGGGGUUCCCAAACUUGGGUCUCCAGCUGUUUUGGACUACAACUCCCAUCAACCCAAGCUAGCAGGACCAGUGGUCAGGGAUGAUGGGAACUGUAGUCUUAAAAAAAAACAACAAAUAGCUGGAGACCAAGUUUUGGAAACACUGAUCUAGGGGGUGCCAAGCUGUGAAAGGCUGGCUUAACCUCUCUCAUGAGGUUGCUGAGGAAAUAUGUGGAUUGUCUCUCUCUCUGUGUGUGUGUGCAGAGUCAUUCAUUUCAGGAAGGGCAGAUGAGUAAUUGAACAACCCCCUUGUGCAUCUGAUGACCUGUGCAGGCAAAUUCCUGGCUGUUCCCAGCUUGUGUACUUAUUGGCUGUUGCCUCAGAGCAGCAGAGGGGGACCACAAGCCCUUGACUCACACCUGUGCAGAAUCCUGCCACAUCUGCACCGCAUGGGCCAGGCCCCCCUCCCCUCUCCGUUACACCUUGGCCACUUUGGCUGGCAAAUGCCCAGACUGGCUGCUGCCCCUUCCUCCUGUUUCUAUUUUCUGCCUGUGCCCGGUACCAGAGUCCAGGAGGCACAGCACUCACGACUGCUGUUGGCAUCUGAUGACAUCGCUUAUAUAGCCCCUGAAACCUCAUGCCUACAAUAAAACAAUCAGUCUCCAGGGUGCUGCAUCAAUUUUUCAUUUGUCUUCUCGGUUCCCAUCUGUAGGUAAAUUUAAAAUACCGGUAACCUCUAUGGCAUGAGAAGCAGGAGGACAUCCAAGCAGGCUGUGUGUGUGUUUGCAUUAUCAGAAGACAGAAAGGGUGCUAACUCUGUGGAGGCAGGGAAACAGCUUGCAAGUGAAAGGGAAGAGGUUACAGCAAACUGAAGCAGACUUCUUCUUAGCCUCUCACUGCUGGCCUGUGCCCAGAAGGAGGUGCAAGGAGGUCCCCAGCAGCCUUCCUUAACCUUGUGCCCUCCAGGUGCAUUGGACUGCAACUCCCAUCAGCCCCAGUCUGCAUGGUCCAAUGGCCAAGGGUGUUGGGAGUUGGAGUCUGACUGCACCUGGAAGGCACCAGGUUAGGGAAGGCUGCUUGGUAGGCCUCGUGGAGGAGCCAAUCUCAGCCAUGCAAAACCACUUGAGCUGACCUACAGAUGUCCAGCUUCUGCCCACUUGAGAAUAUAAGGCAAGCCCUGCCUCCUGGAUCAGACCCAAGGUGCACAGAAUGUAGCAUCCCUGCUCCUCUCAGCAACCAAUCAUGGGUCUCCAGGAAGCUCAAAAGCAGGGCAUGAAGGCAACUGCCCGCUUCUCUCAUUGCUCCCCAGGUACUGGUGUCCCUACAUCCAUCGCCAUUUGGUGGCAACUGUGCUUUCUGGAAUGCGGUAUGGAAGCCAGGUGUGCAUUUAGCUUCUUGACGGACCGUGUGCUGAACUGUUACAUAGAGAAUCCAAAAAUCUAGCAGUGGGGCUCAGGCCUGGGGCAGAUGAGGAUAUGAGGCCUUUGUACCUGGCCUCCAGGACUCCCUGUGGGUCAAACCUCUUCCCCAGCCACACCCCUCAUUAGAUCCUCCUGGAGUGUGUUUGCCUGGCUGGAAUGUGUCCUUGAGCUCAGAUAACGCCUCUUCCCGGCCUGGAUGGAGGUGGGGUUUUGUGUGUGUAGAAACCAGCCUCCUAUGCAAAGUUGACAUUGACUUUCAUUGCCACACCCACUUUUCACCUCUGGCCCCUCCCACCACUGGCAUGUGACACCCCCCACCCCGGAAGGUUGCCCAGGAAAUAAUGUGACUCUCUGCCUAGGAAAAGGUCCCCUAGCCCUGGUGUAAAUAAAAGGACUCUCCCACUCUUUGCCAUCUUUCUCGCACUUCUGUUGACAGCAACUCCUCAAUUUCUCCUACAUCUAAAAACUGUGCAAGCUUUCCCAUACCUUGAGUGCUACUGAGGCCAUUAUUCUGCUGGUGGGUUUCCCCUGGGCAUCUGACUGAGCACUGUGGGAAUGACCCAUGCUGGACGAGGUGGACCUUUGGUCUAUCAGAACAGACCCUCCAAGUGUCCCUAUUUCCCAGGGUCAGUCCCGGAUUUACAGAUUUAUCCUGGUUUCUGAUUUAUCCUGGAAUGUCUCACUUUUCCCUAGGAUGUCCCUAUUUUCAUCAGAGAAGUGUUGGAAGUUAUGGAGUUAUGCGACCCCUGAGCCAGGGAAAUAAGUAACUAAACAACCUCUAGAAGACAUCUGAAGGCAGCCCUGUAUAGGGAAAUGUUGGAGGGUAUGUCAGAGACCCUUCAUAUGUUUUUAGGAUUCAUAUUCUUUUAAGGCAGCGGUGCUCAACCUGUGGGUUCCCAGAUGUUGUUGGACUACAACUCCCAUCAUCCCUGAGCUCUGGCCUUGCUAGCUAGGGGUGCUGGGAGUUGUAGUUCAAAAACAUCUGGGGACCCACAGGUUGAGAAAGGCUGCUUUAAGGUCUCUGGGGACUACAUUCAAAAAGUGUUGUGGGGUCUACAGUUCUGGCUCUGGGUUUUAGGGACCCCUAAGAUGAGGUGCUGCUGGGGGCAUUGGAGGUGGGGGCAAUCUCAGCAGGCGCCUGGCAAUGGCCACCAAUGGCACAGACCCUUGUUCUACCAGUUGGUUGCCCCUGACUCAGCUGAAAGGCUAUUAUGUUCCUGAGCGCUUGAUGGCAUCUGAAAAGCAAGAUUUCUCUCUGUGUGAGAGAUAUCGAGGAAGAUGUGCCUGAGGUCAGGGUUUGACCUAGAAGGUUUGGGGCUGGAGCUGUUUGCAUGGUCAGUAAGAAUAUCAGGCAGUGUCAGAGACAUCUGGUAAGACUACUUACUAAGCAGAGUCUCUGCAUGUUUAGGAGGGAUAGAAUUCUGAUCCCAGCUGUUCAUCAGGCGGCCUGCCAGGGUCACAGACGCCACUUCUCCUCAUCCGAUGACUGGCAGCUAAUUUUUAUUUUAUUUUUACCCUCUUUUUAAAUAAAUAAAUGCAGCGGAGGCUUCAGAACAUAUUGCAUUUGUCACAUUGGUGGAAUGCCAUCGUCGUUCUGCAUGUCUUCAGGGCACCAGCAAGAAACUGUGUGUGUUGUUCGGGUUUGCUUGUUUAUGCUGCAAAUGUGCACCCGGUUACAUGGGCUUCCCCUCGUGGAAAUAAAUGAGAUUAAGCAAGCGUAACUAGAACCAAGACUGCAGCCACAGACUUUCAUUUUGCACAUGUGGUUUGGUUUGGUUUUUUUUUAAAAAAACACAACCCAAAACGUUUACUGUGCAAUCUUCAGGGUUUGCAAAAACGCUUACUAUAAAAUAUUCCCAGAGGACAUAUGUGAGUUUUCGAGUGAGAGAGGCAGUUUUGAUAGCACUUUCAGUGCCCUCCAAACACCCAUAUUUUCCACCACCCACUGCUUUCUGCAAUGAGGUCUGGGUGGGGGAAAAUGGUUUCACGGCUGCAAAUCCUGGAAGACCUGCUCCCUGCCUAGCAGGCGUUUUCCCACCUGGCCUGGAAGGGCAGGUCUCUGAUUGACUCCAGCUGCAAAAGCUGAGGCUACUGAAAAGGCCAGAGACCAUCUUGGCUGUCUCCUAGUGGAGGCCCAGGUUAUCAGGCCUGAGCUUCCACAGCUGCAGCCCACAAUGAACCACCAUUGGCACAACUGGCAGCAACAGCAGCAGAUACAUCCUAUGCUUAUGGUACUAUUUUAUUCUCUUGUUAAUUAUGCUGUUUUAAAUGUGCAUUUUAUAACCGACUUCCUUUAGUAAUGUUUCCUUUUGCAGUGCUUAAGAUAUAUUUUUUUAAUGUUGCUGCAUUAAAUGUCCAUUCUGUAGUUGACCUCCUUUGCGAGGCUUUAUUUUGAAACCUUUAAGAUAACAUUUUAGUUUCCUAAUAAAAAUAAAAAUUGUCCAGUAGCACCUUAUAGACCAACUAAGUUUGUUCUGGUAUAAGCUUUCAUGUGCAUGCACACUUCUUCAGAUACCACAAAAGCUUAUACCAGAUCAAACUAAGUUGGUCUAUAAGGUGCUACUGGACAUUUUUUAAUUUUUAUUUUUUUAUUUCAACUGUGUCAGACCAACACGGCUACCUACCUGAAUCUAGAAUUUUAGUUUCCUGUUGUUUAAUGUUGCUUUGAAUGCAUACUUUAUAUUUGACUUUCUUCAGUAAUGUUUUAUUCUGGAUAGUUUUAUUUGACGUUUUGAUGUGUUGUAAACCUCUUUGAGAUUUUGUUCUUAAAAACAUAAAGCAGUAUAGUCAUGAAAUGGGUGAUAAUAAUAAUUUAGUUCCAGCUACAGAAGAGGCAAUACUGUUUGGCUAAUACUUAUGACUUCACCAAUGCUAUCACCUCUCCAAAUCCCUGGAGCAGUUUUGCGCUUAAAAUAGUUGCACUGGUUUUUCAGUAUGCUGUUGGAUGAACAUGUAAAUUGUUGAUGAUAUAUACCCCCCCUUUUUUUAAAGUGGAAAUCCCACUUGAUCAUAGCUAGACUGAGAUGGACACAACUUCUGACAUUGGAAAGGCAAUCAGGACCUCCACUACAGAGAAGUCCAGGGCUUCUCUUGCAUGCUUGUGUUCUUGAAAUACAAGUUGCAAGCCUUGGUUUUUUUAAUUUCAUGUGGAGAACUUUCUGCAGACACUUUUUUUAAAUGGCACAGCUGUUUUCACCCCUAUGGGCACAAGAGACCCCAGGUGCCAUCUAGACGCCCCAAUCCCUUCUCAAUAUGAUAAUCUUUAUUGUCAUUGUCCCAUACAGAACGAAAGUGAUAAAAUCUACAUCAGACAUUCAAAAACAACAAGCCUGCUAUCCCAGCCUGGUUAGCCCCCUAAAAAUUCUGAUACCCCAUAAGUAAAUACAAUAUACUCCCAUAGAGACUACUUUACACUGUGUUUAAAACCAAAAUCGCAUUUGGAUAGAAACUGUUUCUCAGGCACCUAGUCCUAGUCUUUCUAACCCUGUACCUUCUUCCAGAAGGCAGAAGCUGAAAGAGAUCAUUUCCGGGGUGCGCACUAUCCUGCGCUAUCUCUGCAGCUUUCUUAUGGCACCUGGAAGCGUAGAUUUGACCCACAUUUGCAAUGAGGCAGAUCUUGACAAAGACCAUGGAUUAGUUGGCUCUGUGGUAGUUGGUGGGGAAAACCUCCAGCCCAUGGGCUGAAUUUACCCUGGCCUAGGUCCCAGAUUCAUAAGUGACAUCAGGUGUGGGGCAGACAGAGAUGCAACCAGUUCCUGCAGUAGGUAGGGUCUAACACACUGUCUUUUAGCCGAUGGGCGGUGAAGUCAGCCCUGCUUGGUAGACUUCCUGAGAUCCAUGCUGAAAGUAGCUUUGCAAGCACAAUGCCGAGUACUUUCUGGCAUAGUCGACAAAGCCCCAUGCACUGUGGUUCCCAAGCACCCAGCAGCCAGCUUGCAUUCACUGCACAAGGGACUUAAGACAGAUGGGUGGAACAUAAUGAUGUUUGGUUAUUGCCCUGACCCCCAGGCCCAAAGGAGGGCCUAUGCGAGUGGUUUGAUGCAGAGAUGUCAAACAAGGCUGUCAAAAACACCAGAAUGGCCAGUUCUAGUGCUUUAUUAAAGAAACGCCCCACUGUCCUUACAGAUGCAGGUCGGACACUAUAGCAGUGAGAGGUCAUUGUGACUUGUCUGCGCCCAGGAAAGCAUUCAUUCAUUACUUGUGCAAAAAGACAGUAUAUGUCAGUUUGGCCAGAACCUCACAUCACUCCACCUGGCUGUUGGGGGCAUAGGUGGCAAAUACCCAGGUCUUACAGAUAGCUCCCCUCUCUGGUCCCAGAGCCCAGCAUCGCAAGCCCAGAGAUAAGCACAACAUCAAAUCAAGCCAAUGAGCAUAUGUCAAAGCAACAGCAUAAACAUGUAAACAUUCUUCCGACAACUACCACUUGAUUCCCAAGAUAGCAUUUGCAGGCUUUCCAGAACCUUUGGUUCUGCACAGUGAUUGACAGGUGGCUUGUCCCACCCACCUGCCAAAGUUGGCCCAUCAGGGGGGAGGCAGAUGAAAGUUUCCUCACCCCUUCUCUGUGGACGUCUUGUCUUCUUUCUGCAAAGAGUGACAAUGGUGGAAACAGAUCGGCCUUUGCUGGUGGUUCCCACCCCCAGGACUGUAGCAAAGAACAAGAACGCUGCAUCAUUUGGAUCCCAAGAAGUCACUAGGGCUAUUCCCUACUGAACAUUCCUGGGUGACCCACAUAUUCCUCUGGUUCUACAGAUCUUCUUUGGAGGCCCUGCACUAUGUGUCCCCAGCACGCUAUGCCAGGUGGGUGGCUACAAAGGGAAGGGCCUUUUGAGUGGUGGCUCUGAAGUUAUGGAAUAGCUUUCCCAGAGAGCCUCUCCUGGUACUAUUUUAUGGUCUUUUUGGUGCCAGGUAUAGAGUUUUUUAUUCAUGCAUGCCUUUUAACCUUGUAUUAAAAGAACAGCCCUUCAGCCUUUUGUAUUUUUAAUAUAAACAUUUCACUACCUCCAUUUUUUAACAUUGUUUUAAGCUGAGCUGCACAUUGUUUUUUUACACACACACACACACACACACACACACACACACUGUGUCUGUCUGCUAUGAAUGAAGGUUUUGUUAAUAUUUCUUUAAUAUUAUUGUUUUUUGCACUUUUUAAAAUAUCGCAGGAGGCUUGUUUACUGUUCCACUAUGCUAACCAUUGAGAGCAUUUUUUUGGGUGAGCUGCCAUAUCAAUUUAAACAAAUAAAUAUCACAGUAAUUAAAUACAGUGGUACCUCGGGUUACAUACGCUUCAGGUUACAGACUCUGCUAAUGCGGAAAUAGUACCUCAGGUUAAGAACUUUGCUUCAAGAUGAGAACAGAAAUCGUGCUCCGGCAGUGCGGCUGCAGCAGGAGGCCCCAUUAGCUAAAGUGGUGCUUCAGGUUAAGAACUGUUUCAGUUUAAGAACAGACCUCCAGAGGUACCACUGUAAUGGUAACCCUAUGCAUAAAUAUCCUUCAUUUGAUGCCCUUUUGUCACUUAGCUUGUGUGAACUGACUCCACGCUCAGUCUUGAGCUGACAGGCAGGUUUGAUACCUGUGGGGGGGCAGGGUUGCUCACGUAAUGCCUGAAUCGGGACUUGAUGUUGCAUUCACCCUUGGUCAAGGGUUUGCUUCACUCCUAGAGUGAUCCGAGAGCUUUUUUCUUCUCCUGGAGAGCGGAGCACCUGAGACACUGAAUUACAGGUUGCUCUUUCAGAAGUCGAGGCUUUACCGCCGCUCUGCCAAACCCAUUAGGCAGGCAGGUUUCUCUGCAAGUGCCGUUCUGUUGCUAAGGAGUUUAUAAUUUCAUCUUUCGAAGGCGGGGGAGAACACGGGAAGCCUCCCGACAUCAGGAGGUGUCGUCUGGAGAAAAGUUUUGCUGGCAUCCCACGCUUGGGGCUCCUGCCUUCGCUGUCUGCCCACCCACCCCUCUCGCUCACCCCACACUCGCCCUGUGAUCAAGUGCUCUUAACAACCACCCCACUGUUCUGAAGAAAGCAGCCUUACAAGAGGGUUCGCAUUAGCUUUUCAUCUGGGAGGAAGUUGCUGGGAGGGGAGCCAGUGGCAGUUACAGGAAAGUGUGGCGGGGAGAGGAGCACAGAGGGCUGGUAAGAAGAACACACACAAGAUGAAUCGGAGGAGGCAAAGCUCACGUACGCGGAGGAAGGCGUAGGCUUUGGACCUGAUCAGCAAAACGGCCAAGCCAUUUUAAUGCGUCGGUUUUAAUUUGCAUUGGAGGGAGCCAAAUGUUUCUGCCUGCCUGAUGUAACCUUGCGAGUGGAGCAGAAUGCGGCCCUGCAUGUUACCAAUUCCACCCCCCCCCCCCCAAAAAAGAAAUCACAGGUUGCCAAGAAGCUACUCAGAUUCAUUCCAAGAAAUACCUGAACAGGAUGUCCUUGGCCACUUCUGCAAAUGAGCAUAUAAUUGAUGUGUGGUUGGUUGGCAUCCAUCUACCUUGGGAGACUCGGGGGGUGAGGUCAAGCUGUUGCAAGGUUGCUGCGCCUGUUGUGCGUGUAGAAACUGAUACAGGAGAGACAUGUUUUGUUGCAGCUGGGGCAGGUGAAGGCUUUUGGUUGUGCUGCUGCAGGUGCACCACGGCGUUUCUUCUCUCUAUGCUCCUCCCAGAUGGUGGGGACGUCAGGCGCCAUCCUGUUGCCCAGGCAUCUUCACUUGGUCGCAAGUGGUUGAAAGGCAGAUGCAAAAUGUACCUGGCACUUGGCUAAUUUCAAACACUUUGGGUUGGGCUUUGGUGGAGUCUCACAGAUUGGGUGCCAAGUCAGGUCAAAACUUGGUGGUUUAGGAACUGCACCAGAAUGCAGCCGGGAAAAUCAGAAUAAGGGGACAGAGGGCAGAGGAAUGGCAGGCAGAGGUGAUAUCAAUAUCUGCCUGUCUGUCUUACUGCCUUGUGCUGUUAUUAUUUCGCACACCUAUAAUUUAUUUCCAUUUCUGUAUCGUUUUAGUUGGCAUUCGCAAGCUGCCUUGAGAUAAGUGAGGAAUCAGUUACACACAUAAACAAGUCACAAAAUCGGAGGGGAAAUGUACAUAAAAUGUGCUAAUCACAAUGUGCAAACAUUUCUAAAACAUACACAGAUCUGACUCUCAAAUUCCGGCUAGUUCCUGAGUUGUGCAGCUAUUUCAGAAAACAAUGCCCAGCCUACAUGUUACUAAUUAAGGCAGGCAUAGGCAAACUUGGCUCUCCAGAUGUUUUGGGACUACAACUUCCAUCAUCCCUGACCAGUGCUCCUGUUAGCUAGGGAUGAUGGGAGUUGUAGUCCGAAAACAUCUGGAGGGCCGAGGUUGCCUAUGCCUGAAUUAAGGCCACCAACCUCUGCACAGUUACUUGGGAGUAGCAUCACAGAGCUCAGUGGGACCUUCUUCUGAGUAGACCUGCCUAGACCAGCAUUGUAAGAUGCAUCUGUACCAGGAAUUGACAACUGGUGAUAUGGAAGUCACAGAUCAGUCCUAAAUUAGGCAAGUAGUAUUAUUACGAACUAGAUAUCAUUUGACUGGUUCUACUAGCAAACUUUCUAACUGGCAGCUGGUAUUAGAAUCUGAAAAAACAGUAAAAUUCAGAUUUGGAUAUUUUUAUGAUAAUAAAAAAUAAAAAAUAAAUAAAUGACAUUAAUAUAUCCCAUGUCUGCAAAAAACCCUCAACAACUUAGUAUCUGAACUGGUUUGUAGAGGAAGGCUGGAAUCGUAUAUAAGGGGAGUAAGCCCCGUGGUAUAAAUGGGCCUUACUCCUGAGUAGACAUGACAAGUAUCGCAUUUCAUUAUGAUCGUGGUGACGAUGACAAUUAUCACUGCGAGAUGGCAUUUGCUUUGCAUUUUGAGUGUUUUGCAUGCAUUAUUUGAGUUACCCUUGUACAAGUCCAGUAACGGGGGGUCACUGUUGUUUAUAUCCCCACAUUACAGAAUCGUGGAACUGGGGGGGCGGGGGGGGGAGAGAGGAAAAAUGCUCUGGAACAGAGGUUUGCCCCCAUCUACUUGGUGUGCUUCAUAGCAGAGGUGAGAUCUGAAAUGUUCCCUUUUCAAAAGCUUCCAUGCAUAACCCUUUGGCCAGGGAACUGCAAGACACCAGCAGCGGCUCGGGUUUAAAGGAGUGACACAGUGAUUUUUCUUGGCUUUUUUGACAGCGGCACAAGACUCCAUCCUGAAGCGUGUCUCUUCCUAUUCCCCACCUUGUCCAUUGUCAAGCUCCAGACAGUGCUGUUUGUAAUCCUGGUAAGGGAGAAGUGAAUUCCAGCACCCACACAGAGCAAGAGAGAGAGCAGAGCUAACAGCUGCCGAA